ACAGUUUGUUUUUUGGAUUGAGAACAUACAAAUAACCUUUGAACAUUAGCGUUUCAAGAAUGUUCUCAUCACAACAAGGUGGUUUUGAAGAAACUGGGUAAUUCAAUAAAGACAAAGUGAAGACAAAAUAUGCUAUAUGCUUGUGUAGAGAACAUCAAAAAAACUAUGCCAUGUCAUAUAAAAUAAAUUAAUAUGCUACAUGAAAAGGCUUGCAUCACAAUAGCACACAUAAGCAUAGUUUAAAGAUGACAUAAGACUCAAAAAGACUCUUCAGACCAAAGUUUUAGGGGUAAUAUGCGUCUUUUGAUGUGCAAGAGAAUGUAAGAAUUUAGGUGCAUGUGUUUGUACUGAAUUUGUCAACAGGCAUCACUCAACUAAAAUCAGAUAAUUUCACAUAUUGAAUUCCAAAUAUUCUAUUCUACUUGUAUCCAUUUGGAUAAACAAUUGAAAUAAACUGGUCAUUGUUUAUAUUCAUCUUGCACAGAGGUGGCAACAUCUAAUCCCUUUUAUUUACCAGGACAGGCAUUUCCAUGUCAACACUUCAAAUAUCAAAAAGAGACCAAGUUAUCAUCUAAAUCAAGACAAAAAGUACAAAAUAGAAGAAAUGGGUUACCUUUAUAUCAGCAAAAGCUUGUGAAAUUGGUUCCUUGGAAUUCAAGAAUGAAAAGGAACAUAGAGAGCCAGUAAAAUUGACAACACCUACAACAUCUUUCUGGCUGCAUGCUUCACAAAUUUAAACAAUUAUUAAACGUUAGUUUUAACAGUAUAAACAACAUGAAAAGACAAUCAAGUUCAAAAUAGAAAAGGCCAGAUCACCUUCAAUGUACAUAUCCUUCAUAAAUGGUAGAAGCAACUCAACUUCAUGCAAACCCUCUGUGGUGCAUGCUUCAUCAUUAACAACCUAAACAAUAGGAUAGCAUCAGAAGAAAUUACCAGUUCAAAGGUGAAGGAAUUAUUCAAGAAGUAAUGGAUAUUGUUCCAUAAUUAUAAAGAUUAAUGAAUAAGAUGCCUGGACAUUUAAGAGGUUGAUUAGAGCAAUUCUCACCAGGUUCCCAUCAAUCACAGCUUUUGCACCUCGCAGCUCUUUAACGUAAUUAGAAAUUCCAUUAUAGAGAACAUCAACAAGCGUCUCAGAUUUUGAUGUUUUCUCUUGAUAAAUUGGCAGCCUGAGUAACAUAUACCUUUGUUGUUCAAAAAUGACUAAAGACAUACUUUUGAUGCUAAAAUAGCUAGCAGGAAAAUAUCAACAUAUGUAUCAACUAUCAAGAGAAGCAACAAUGCAAAAGUGAAACCAAGUUCCAAAUUAAGCAUAGCUAUAUGGUAGCCUAAUACUUUAGCAAAAAGACUGUAAAGAAGUUAUGAGGAAGCAGGCAAUAAGAGAUGCUAAUGAAAGUUUGGUGAACCCAUAUGGAAAAAAGAACAAAUUCAACAGGAAUUAUCAAGCCAAACAAUAGAAAUCUGGGAUGGGAAAGAAGUUUGAGAAAUAGAUAAUAGUUACCUAAGAUCAAAAUUGUACAAGCACUUAAAAGUUUGAAGAGAAGUUAAGACCCUCCCCAUUUUGAAGUCACAAGGCCGUAAGCUGCUUGACGUAAUAUUUGAUGACAGUGUACAAUUCCGACAUGUCCAUCUACCAAAGAAGUGUAAUUUUGAGGUCAAAAUAGAAAUUUAACUUUAACAACUGAGGAAUAUCAAACAUCAAUAACAAAUAACGAGUACAGAUACAGUUCUUGUAAAGUACCUCCUUGGGCUAUAACAUAUGUGAAUAAGCAAUCUUUCAUCAAGGUCAUCCUCCAAAGUGGAAGCUGCUUCAGCAACUCCCUUCACAGUCUGCAAAAACCAUUAGAUUUAUUUCAGAUCAUAAAUAGGUGAAACCAAAACUUUACUCCUAACGAAAACAUGCCAAACUUCAAUAAAAAUGAAGCAAAGAUAAAGUGAAACACCUGGCAAAGCACCAUGGUCGAAUUCUUGAAAGCGGACUCACUUGCCCACACAUAAAUACCCACUACUUUGAUUCCACCCACCAUCAUUCUUGACACCUUGAUUCAACAACAUUUACAUAAUUUAAGGGAAAAAAUUCGAAUUCAGUUCACUAAUUCAAAGUAAACAAAUAAAUGAAUGAAUAAACGCACUUGGCGAGCAUGUUCAGCGACCCAAUCCUUGUCAAUGACCAAAUUAGAGGAAGAAUCAGACGUCUGAGAUUUGGAUUUCGAUCCUUUUUUCUUGUUGUCUUUUGCUGGCUCCAAAACCGAACAAGCUGGUUGUCCGGCGUCGUUUUGAGGAGUGGGUACUAAAUCGAACACGAAGCCGCGGUCCAGAGCGGAGUUGAGUUUCCCUAUCACCAGACCAACCUGCAUUUAAACGGGCAAAAAGGAAUUUAACAUGAAAUUCUUCAGAAUUCAUCGAUCUCUGUAAUUUUGUUUCAACGAGAAAACGGAAUGGACCUGAGCCGGUUCUGAAGAUCGGGAGAGACGAUCCUCAGCUAGCUGGAGUUGGCUUUCUUCUCCGACCACUGCUUUCACCAUGUUUGUUUGACUUCAGUGAACAAACAGAUCGAAGUCGAGCCACCUGGGAUUUCAGAGCUUAGCAAUAAGAACCGGCGAAGAAAUCAUGAGAAAGAAAACGGCGUCGUACUGCCAUCAUGGACUUGCAAAUGGGCUUUUGGUUAGGUCUCUCUUGCUUUGUUUGAGGACAUUCGAAAUGGGCUUCUUUUAGCCAUUGUGCUUUAUAUGGGCAUAAUCAUCAUUUCAUAAUUUUCUUCUUUUCUCUUAGGCCCUUGUAAAUAAUUUUAUAUUUAGGAAUCCUUUUUAGCUAUUAAAUAUGUUACUAAAUACAUAAACAAAAAAUUAAUGCAUUAACCUUGGUAUUACAAAGUUUAGUCUCGUUGACCUAAAUGAAUGUACGAAUUCACAUGUGGAAUUAGGGGAGUUAGUGGGUAAGUUUCGCGAGUCUCGUCUCACUUCAAAUUCAAUUGGGUUGAGAUUGAUAUAAAUUUCGGUGAUGGUGAGGUAAGGAUGGGACAAAAGUUAGACUCUUCGUGGGUGGUAAGGUAGGUGUGGAUAUGAUCUUGUACCUGUCUCAUCUCUACCCGCCAUUUAUAAAAUUAAAAGAAAAAGGAGAGCACUCCACAGUUCUUACCCAAUUUUAGCACACCUCACUCAUUUAGUUUCUCACUUUCUCUGUUUUACAUAAAAACUCUAAAAUUACUCAUUAUUGCUCCACGCCGCAACUUGCAAAUUUAAAACUCCUGUUUAACUGAUACUUAUAAAUAUAUUGUAUGGAGUGAAUUGCGGGACCCUAAAAUAUUUGGGGAAGAUAUUUAUAUAUAGUUUAUGUUUACAUGUCAAAUGCGUAUUAAAAUAAUUAAUGAAUUUUAGUGUUUGGCCGUUUUUAAACUUAUCCACAUUAAAGAUUUGAGUCACAAGAAUUUUCUACUCAUAAUGAAGGUUAAUGGUUUCCUGUUGUUAAUAUCAAAGGGAAUGGAAUGAACAAAUACAUCUAACAUUUAUAGAUUAGGCGGUAGUAUUAUUUAAAUUUUAAUAUUUAUAAUAAAGGAGGAUGGGUCUAGACCAAAUAUGUCAGGAUUUUAGUAAAGGUGUUGUUUCAAUUUUAUAAAAUAUCUUUCAUUUAGGUUUUCGUUUUUUAUUUUAUUUUUAAAUUUGUGCUUUUUAUCAAUUUAUUUAAAAAUAAAUAGAGAAGUUAAUUUUUUAACUUUACUGAUGUUGCACCUAUGCGGAUUAUCACGUGAAUAACAUGUAAGUAUUUAAUUAAUUUUAAAAAAAUUCAAAAAAUAUAUAUAAAAACUAUUUUUAAAAAUUAAAAAUUAUUUAAAUUAUUUUAAAAUUAUAAAAAAAAUAUUUUUUUAAUAUUUUUAAAAUUCUAAAAAAAUCAAUUAAAUGUUUGAGGUGUUAUCUAUAUGGCAAUUCACGCAUAUACCAUAUGAGCAAAGUUAACAAAUGUUAAAUUUUUCAUCCAUUUUUUGGGUGAUUUGAUAAAAAAUAUAAAUUUAAAAAUUAGAUGAAAAUAAAAUAAAUGAUUAAAAUAUUUUUUUAUAAAAUUGGAGGAUUUAAAAAAUUAUUAUGCCUUUAACAAAUCCCCUAAUGCAAAAAUAGGUGACCAAAGCUAGAGUUGUCCAUAGGUCGAGCCGGAUGAAGGCUUACCUGAAAAAUUGGAGGGUUUGAGCAAAAAUAUAAGCUUAAAAAAUAAGCUUGGACAAAAAAAAUGCCCAUUUAAAAAAUAUGUUGGGCCUUGAAUAAGAUUUUUUUGGGCCCGACUUGAAUUUUCAAAAAAAAACUAUUAAUUUUCCAUAUUUUGUUGUUAUUUUCUCUUUUUUUACUACUAUUUAACUAUUAUGUUACUCUUAUUUUGUUGUUAAUGUUUGAAUAUUGUAUAAUACUUUUAUUAUUAAUUUUGUUACUAUUUUAGAGGCAUUUACUUGUUAAAUUGCACUUAUUUAUUUGAAUAUAAAAACUUUUUUAAAUUUAUUUUUAAUUUGGUAAGAAAUAUUUAUUUUAAUAUUUCUAAUGUAUUUGGUUUAUUAUAUUUUUUAAAAAAUUUAAUAAAAAAUAAAAUUUAAAAAAUUAGCAGGAAUCAAAUCCAAUUUUUAAUAUAUUUAUCUACACUGAAUUUAAACAAAAAUUUAGAAUCAUCUUCUGAAUCGGGUUGAACUUAAACCUAAUAAUCCGACCUAAAAUUUUGUUAGAGUGAGAGUCGGACCCGACCAUCACAACUCUAGAUCAAAGCCAUUUGAUAAAAAUAAUCCUUAGUCCAAUUUCGGAAUAAAAAACCGUGAUGCAAUAAUACGUGACCGAAACAGAAGUCAUCAUGUUGUCAAAGUGACGAAGACCUUGGAAUAUGGGUUGGGUUAACAAUACGGAGCAAGUUCCAAAUACCAAACUUUCAAGGAAAUAAGAAGGUGAUUUUAAUAUUAAUUUAUGACAACUAGACAAGCUUUGGAAGAUUGCAGGUUUGAAAUUAUUAAAGUGUGUAAUAUUUUUUUAAAUGAUAGAGUUUUGUUUUGGAAAAAGAAAAUUGAAAGACGUAUUUAAAAAAUGGGAACGGUAGGAGUUGGUGGAAAAGAAACAAGUAUGGGAAAAUGCCGAAGCAGAAUAUUUGUUUUUAAAUCCUGCAAAAAUAUCAAAUAUGUACGAAAUCAACCCGACCAAAGCUGAGAUGAGAAACAUAAAAAGCAGGGGGUGAAAAAGUGUUUUCAAAGUCCCUUAGGUAAACAUUAUGAUACCUACCAAUGAUUAACCUUAUUAUUUUUCCUUUUUAACUUUCUUAUAUUUAAUAAUCAUAUUAUAUUAUGUCUUAAUUAAAUUUAAAAUUAAAAUUUAAUCGAAAAGUAAAAUCUUCCUAUACCAUAUUUUUAUUUACAAAAUUCCAUUUAAAUAAUAUUAAAUUUCUAAUACUUGACUCAAUCAAUAUACAUGCCCCUACUAAAUUUUAAAACCAUGGAUAAUUUCCACUAUUUUUCCUUUUUGAUUAUGUAUUCUAAUAAUUUUGGUUUGUUUUGGCAGCAUAUUAGUAUUACCAGAUGGGUCCAGUAACAGCUACACUGCAGCGGCAGACCAAAAGCGAAUCCUUCCCGCUGCUCCAUAAACUUUCACCAACAAUACAAUCAAAAACUAAUAAGUCGACGAAAACCCGAAGGCUUUUGCUGUUUGUCGUGUCUCCGCAGUUGAUUUCUUUCCGCCCACGGGUUUAACCAAUAUAUCUAAUUUUAAACAUCAUUACUGACAUCGAAUCUAAUGAUGAAGGGUUUUUUUUAGAGAACAGAUAAAAUUAAAAUUUAAGUAUUUAUAUUCACUUUUUAAGAAAUUUUAAACUUUUGUGUAUUCUUCUUUAUCCAGCCGUCGUUGAUGUCUAAUAAAAAAUUGCAUUAAUAAUAUGUUUAAAUAAAAAUUUUGCUUUAAUUAUAACACUUUUUCAAUUACAUAAUUUUUAUUAAAAUAAUAUUAGAAUUAUGAUUCUUAAAUUUUAUUAUACGUGUAUGCAUGUAAAAAUUAUGUAUUUAAAACAUAAAUAUGUGUUUAAAAAUAACGUACAAUAAAUAAUAUAUAUGAUUAAUGAAUGUAAUAAAAUGUGCAUAAUAAAAUUAAAAUACAUAAAUAAAUUAAAAUGAAGUUUUGAUUUAGUGGUAAAUUUUUUAAAAAAUUUAUGUAAUUGUUAUGGAUUUAAAUCAUACAAUAUGCAUAUUUUUAUUGUUUUUUAAAUGAAAAAACUAAAGUAUCCUCAAAUAAUAUAAAUUAUUUUAAAUUAAGAAGAUCAUUUUUGUAAUUCCUUAAUUGAAAUAGUAUUCGAUUGACUCGUAACACUAACUUAAUCAGAGAUUUUAUUAAUAAUAUAAAUUAUGCAAUUGUUAUUCUUUAAAUAUUUAAAUUUAAAUUUUUAUUUAAUAUUAUAUUUACAACUGUCACUCUUUCUCUUAUCUUUUUUUUUUCUCAUGAUCUUCCAUCCAUGCAAGGAGUGAUGAAAAUCCGUAGAGCCUAGUGAACCACUAUAGUAAAUUGUAGUUAUCAGAGUAAUUUUGUAAUCCUAAGGAUAGGAUUAUCGAGAGUUUAAAUUCUUUAUGAAUCUACCGUAUAGAUAGGUUUGAAUUUGAGUCAUUAAUGUAAUUUAAUUUGUAUUAUUGGAUGUUGGGGGCUCAACUAUAGAAAAGGAAUUUCCCACCUCAUUUCUAAUCAUUUUUCACUUAGAGUAAUUAAAUUGAGAGCAUUCACUUUAAAAGCUUUAUUAAGCAUUUUUUACUUUCUCACUUGUUCCGUCAAUUACUUUUUACCAUUGGUGACUCAGAAAUCUUUUGAGAUUAUCAUAUUUCGAGGGUUCAGGUUAAAUUAUGCAAAUUUGAAGCGAAUUCACCGCUUAAGGUCACGCAGUUUCCCAGGCUAGGUUCAUUAAAGUGCCUUAGUUGAGAUGACAAAUCAAACAGAUUGUCAACAUAUCUCACUAGAGACCCAUGGGGGAAAAGAAAGGUAGCAAUUCAAGGGAUAUUCUGUCGGCGAUAAAUGGAAGAGUUUCCAAACUCAAAGAAUCCAUGGUUGAUGUUAAGAAAAGCCUUGAGGUGGUUGAAGUUCGCAUCAUAGAACUGGACUCUAUAGGAUGAGCUUAAGGAGCAAAUACAAGAUACACCCAAUGUCAUUGUGGUAGAGAUGUAAAGGACUCUUAACUCCAUUGUGAAUAUGCUGACCUAGAGGGAUAAUGCUCUCGAAGCCAUGAUGGAGGCUUUGAAGAAAUAUGUGGAAUAGCUCGAGGGGGAACUUGUUCUAUGCAAAGCAAUUGUGGGUAAUAGAGUGUGAGUCGAGACAUACAAACAUAAGAUUGACGUCCCUAAACUGAAAGAGUUUAAGGGGAUCAGGUUUAUAUAUUUAAUUAAUGUUGCCCUUUUGUGGUGGUGGUGUAGUGCACAAACGAAAACUGAGGUGGCAUCAAUAUUAGGACUUGGGUGCAGGUUUAGAAAUAAUUCAAUGAAUAGUUUUACCUUGAGUAUGUUAAAGAUGAGGUUUGGGCUAAGUUGCGACGACUUCUGCAACAAGGCACUAUUUGGAGUUUUGUGAAUUAAUGAUCUAGAUAUUUGGCUAGCAUGAGAUAAAUACAUUUUUCUCUUUCUUGGAUAGACUAAGACCUUAGGCUAAGCUUGAGUUACAGUGAAGAGGUGCCCAAGAUCUUACCAAAGCUAUGACGACAGUUGAGUCCUUGAUUGAGCUUGAUAUUAAAAAGGUCAAGUUUGAAACUUAAUAAGCCAAGGUGAAGGGCAAUGGUCGAGGAGAUCAAUGACAAUCCAAGAAUGGUAGUGUGAAGUCACGGGCAAGGAAGUUGAAGUCUAAUAAGCCAAUCGAUUAAAAAAAAAUAACGAGCUAGUGAAACGCUUAUUUACGUGGUGGUUCGCACAAGAUGUGAGACUACCAAAAGCGAGCCAAACUUACCGCCAUUUAUAAGGAGGAUGUGGAGCCAAUGGAUGAGGCUUUGAUUCUUGGUUCUUUAGUGCUAAAUUUUGCCAAGGCAAAAAGGGGUUGAAAGUAGGAAAGGUUGAUGUUUAUAAACAUACAUCGCAGGCAAACAAAAGAGUGCUUUUGUUUUAAUACUUAAUUAUUGUUUUCACUUCAUUCAAAUAAAGCAACCUAAAAAUCAAAUUAAUAUUAAUAUUUUAUUUUUUAUUAUAAUUCUCACUAUUACCAAUAACUCCCCACCCUUACCCUAUGUUUCGGUAAAUAAUUAUAAAGGAAAAGAAAUGAAAUGAAGGUUUAAAAAAAGGUUAUGAUGCAUGUUUAUUUUGUUAAAUAGAUAAAAUUAGUAAAGCACUUUGGAAAGCGAAAGAAAUGUUUGAUUAUUAUAAAAAAAAAUGCCAAUUAUAUUCUUUUUAUAAAAUAACUCAUGUAAAAAAUUAAUAGGAUUAAAAAAAAGUAUAAUUUCGCGUUUAAAAAGUAACAUUACUUUUUUUCCAUAGUUUUUCUCCCAAUUUGAAGUAAAUAAAACUGUGUAACUUGGGAAAGUAAGGGAAAUUCAACUCUCUUUUGCUUUCCAUUGCCUAAAUAAAAGAAUCAAUUGAAUCUCAGAAAUAACUUGCGUUCAAAUCAUUGUUAUAUAAAAAAAAAACAAAUUCAAACAAGAAAAAGUUUUUCUACUUUCCUCAAAAUGUUAUUUUUUUUUGUAUGUCUAAAGUUUUUUUCAUGUGAUGUCAAUUGAGUUAGGGUUUAAUCCGUUAUAUUUUUUGGGUAUGUCUAGGGCAAAUAGUUACUUAUUUUCCUCAAAAUGCAAUAUUUUUGGGUAUGUCGAAAGUUUCCUUCAUGUGGUGCCAAUUGAGUUAAGGUUUAUUCUGUCAUAUUUAUUGAUAUGUCUAGAACGAAAUCCUCAAAAUGCUUCUUAAGUAUGUCUAAAGUUUACUUCAUGUGAUAUAAAUUAAGUUAAGACUCAAUUUAUCAAAUUUAUUAAAUAUAUCUAAAGAAAAAGGUUAAGUUAAGACUCAAUUUAUCAAAUUUAUUGAAUAUAUCUAGAGGAAAAGGUUUUUUUCUUUCCUCAAAAUGCCAUAUUUAUUUUGAUAUGUUCAAAAUUUCCUUCAUAUGAUGCAAAUUAAAUUAAAGCUUAAACUACUAUUUCUUUUUACGAACUUAUGACAGUCCUCUUAAUUAUGUCAUUUUUUCCUUUCCCUAAAAGGACAAUAUAGUUUACCAUUGUAUCUAUCUUUGUUGGUCAUGGGUAAUAUUAUAUUAUUAAACUUUAUAACAGUAGGGGCAACAUUUAUAAAAGAAACAAAUAAAAUAAUGAAAUAAAAAUAAAUAAAGGCAAAAACAUUUACUUUCACGCUUCUAAAUUAUUUAAUUCCAAUCCAGCUCCAGCUGGGUCCACCACGCCCACAUUGCAAAAGUAAUACUCAAACCUCCAUUCUCCGCUGUUUUUCAUUUUUCAAUGGAACCCUAAAGACUAAUCCCUCAAACCUCACCAAUUUCAUCCCAUGGAAAACUUCUCCUACUCUUCUUAUCCUGAAUCCGGCGAUUCUUCGCCUCGUUCCAGAGAAAUUGAAUGCGAAAAUCAAUCAUGGGACGAGUCGCCCUCCCUCAAUGCUACUAAUAAUAAUGUUAAUUAUAAGGUUAAGUUUAUGUGCAGCUAUGGGGGCAAAAUCCAACCGCGUUCCCACGAUAACCAGCUCGCUUAUGUUGGUGGAGAUACCAAAAUCCUGGUCGUUGACCGCAACAUCAAGUUCUCUGCUAUCAUGGCCAAGUUAUCUUCUCUUUACGGUGGGGAUUCUGAGGUUUGUUUCAAGUAUCAGCUUCCCGGUGAAGAUCUCGACGCUUUAAUUUCCGUUACCAAUGAUGAAGAUCUGGAGCAUAUGAUGAUGGAAUAUGACCGGUUGCAUCGUUCCUUUGCCAAACCGGCCCGGUCGAGGUUGUUUCUAUUCCCGUUGAAUUCGCCGUUGGUGGCGUCAGGAUUUGAAGGGAGUGAACCGAAGUCCGAUAGGCAAUGGUUCAUUGACGCAUUGAAUUCGGUGCAGAUUCAGAAUCUCGAUGCCUCUUCUCCUCCUACUGUGGCGGUUCUGGCGGCAAAUCCCGAUUUUCUGUUCGGAUUGGAUAAGGUGAAUGUGCCGGAUUCUGUUCCUCCGGUUGUGACGGUGGCACAGGAAGUUGUUGCGAGGGAUGUAACGGCGGGAUCAGACUGUGGAUCGGAGGACCAGCAUUUGAUCACGGACCCAAUGGUAUCUCCAGCAGAGAUCCAGAGGCAAAUCCAUGAAUUACAGAGGAUGCAUAUUGCUGCUACACAAGAACAAGGCAUUUUGCAGAGAAAAAUCGAUGAAUCAAAUGCUAGAGCUUACAAUACUCAAGAUUAUUCAAAAAUGUUGGAUAAAAUUGCCACUUCACCGGUACCAGUAUCAACUCCGCUGCAAAUGCCAAUUCAAACGGCGUAUUUAACCUCUGCUGCUUAUUCGAUAUCUGCGACCGCAGCCCCCGCAAACCAACCAGUUUACCUCAUUCCGACUCCUGCAGCCGGAGUUUAUCAACAGCCUCCGACAAUACAACAGGUAACCGUACCAGCUGGUCAACCUUACUACGGGGUACAGCGGGUGGUUCAGGAUGUUUACCGAGAGCAGUCGGUUUACAAUGCGGUUCCAUCCACGAAGUUUGGGGCAUAUACUGAGGGAAUCCAAGUUAUGCAGCCGACGGGUGGGAUGCCUGAAUCAGGAUAUGUACAGGUGGUUUAUGAUGGGGCAGGAAGGCAGGUGUAUUACACGGCGGCGCCAUAUCAAGGAAUGCCACAAAUGGCGGCAUCUGGUAGUGUCCCGGUGUUAAGUCAAGAUGGUAAGGUUGCUGCGAAUGCUAAUGCUCCUCCCCAAACUUCUUCUCUGUGAUUUCAAUUAACAAUUUGUCAGUAUUGUUUUGUUUAUCAAGUUAUAAUUAUAAUAUAGUACUUUGAAUAAGACUGAAUAUUUUUAUAGGCUUUGGUGAAUUCUUCGAUGUCUUAUGGAACUUUUCAACAAUUUAUUUUAAAAAUUUUUGGGUGAUGUUACGUUUGAUAUUGUUUGAUGUGUAUAAGAAAAAUGGAUUUUUCAUAAUGGCUGUAAAUUAAGUUGUUGAUUUCCUGAUUAGUUUAUUGCAAUCGGGCAAGCUCCUUUCAGGUUAAAUAAAUCCUUAAAACCUUGCUGAAAGUAGAAAAGUAAAUAUUUUACAUCGUCUUAACAAGUUCAUUACUCCGAUGUUGUCUGUUCUUUUGGAGAGAAUUACGGUUGAUGCUGAGUGUUAUCUAAUUGAAGUUUUAAUUCAAUGUGUUACUUUGGGAUCUUCAGAAUUUUGGACCUUCUAAGGAUCUGGAUUUGGUUUAUUACUGUAUUUGGGUGGCGUAUAUUUGUAGCUAGUCUUGCUUUGAACAUUCUAAUCAAGUUACCAUGUCCCGACGCAUCCAUAUGAUUUUGUUGUUUCCUCAAAAUGCAUCAUACUUCAUUUAUACAUAUACUUGCUACCUCCCCUACGACGGCUACUAGUAAUUGCUUCCACGCCUCCUUCCAUAACCAGAACCUCUAGUUCUAACACUUACUGCUCCACAUUCCACCGGUGUCGUGUUGUCUGGGGUGGCCAUAUCGGCAUUCGGUAUUAUACGCCUUUUCUCCUCCUAUUCUCAAACUCACGAUUAGAUUCAUGGUUGAUUUUGGAAAGUAACUGAGCAACUGUUGCAGGAACCCAACGCACGCUGUCUGGCACUUAAUUAUUGGAGCUUUUCUCAUUGUUUUUCCAAGCCGUCAUUUAUAAAUCUCUACAAUGACAGUGACUCCACCGUCACCCCCUUUUGUGACUAUCCAUUGGUCUGUUGACGAAAAGUGAGAUGAAGCUUGUUUCCGUAAUGGCAGGUAUAAAUAGAAGUUAAGCAAAGCCACAGCCUUCCCAUAGAGGACUUUACAGCCACCACGAAAUGGCCGUUCAUUCUUGCGGUUAUUAAUCUCAUACCACUAAUUUCUUUCUUUCAAGUAAAACAAUCAUGUAGAGCCACAAUUUAUAGAUAAAUUUGGGGUUUCCAAUAUGAAAUAAAUCUGGACGUGUUUGAACCAUGUUCAGCAUGUAGGAUAUCAUUUGUCGAAGCAAACAAACAUCAACGAAUACAGAAUAAAUGAACUAAUUAGAUUACUCACCCAUAAAUGGCCCGGUCUAAGGUUCCUCUCAACCUUGGCGGUGAAUCUUAAUUGUUGUUUGCCUGCUGCAAGAAAGAUCCAAGCUUAUGGCAACAAUUCGUGCAUCCACUCAUUCUACUACUUGUUCAUUCAUUUAGUUUCGAUGCUGAAUCAAACUUUAUACAGUCUGGGACCUCUUGCCUAAAUGUAAAAGGAAAUUCUAAAGCUCAAAAGCAUCCUUGUACUUUUUACAAGACAAAAUGAUGCGUCGGAUUUGAAAAUUAUCCUGAGAAUUGGGGUGACCCUAUUUGAAGCUUUCAUGAAAUGUUACAUCUCUUUUGCUUGAGAAAGGUUUGCUUGAGAAAAGUGGAGCAUAAAACACUGAUUCUGCGACCUGAAUGUGUGCAUCGUGGAAAAGACAUAACUUGUUUCUUUAUUGCUUUGUUUAUGCUAAGAUGCAUGACAUAUAUUUUUCAUUUAUUCUUAUACUAUGAUGCUUCUUCUGUUGUUAAUAUUAUUAAUGCUGGAUGAUAAUGUGGGAAGCUAGGAUUGGAUUUAUUGGAAAAGCCUAAUGGCUUGGGGUUAGAUGCUCCCUUUAUUUUAUUUUUGUAUUUGACCUGUCUUCCAGUUUGAUUUUAUUAAUGAAAUUGUACUUUUUUAAAGAAAAAAAUUUAGGUUUAGCGUACAAUUAAAAUGUUAGCAUUCAUAUUCAUCAUAUAAACACACAUUAUAUUCAAAGAGAACUGUUCAAAUAAAGAUUUAGAGUUUAGGUUUUCAACUUGCUUCUCUAAAAGUUUGAAAUUAGAUGAGUUAUAUGAAUAAACAUUUGUAAAUUACUGAAUCAAUCACAACAAGUAUAAUGAGACUCGAUAAUUAUAAUAAUAAUAAAUUAAAGAAGAUUUAAAAGAAAAAAGAAAAAAGUGGUAGUUGAGGCCUCUUCCACUUUCUUCCCACCUGAAACUUCCGUUUGGGGAGACAUUCCCCAUCUUCUCCACUUCUUUAAUCUUUUAUCUUUUCUAGCCCUGGCAAUAUUUUUUUAGGUAGAGAGGGUUAAUUAAUGUCCAGUGAUCUUGAUCAAGAUAAUGAUAUGCAUGUAGAAAUAAAAAUACAAUGGUUGUCUAAUCAUUAAGAAAACUAAUAUAUUUAAUGUAAUUUUUAUAUUAAAAUGUAAAUUAUCAUUCCUGACACUGACUAAAUUGAUAAUAACUAAACACGUGGCUAAUGUUUCACAAAUGAUCUUCUUCCCAAAGACAAUAAUUAAGCCCAUGGGUGUGCUUCAAUGUUGUUCUCCAUUCUCUUUUCUUCCCUCUAAAGCUAAGAACCAGGACUUGUAAGUAACAAUAUAAAAUUAUGAAUUCUCAAUGGAACCAACAACCCCUACUACUUGCCUAACGCUUUUGGUUAUUUAUGUUUUAUUAAAUUAUUAUUAAUAUUAGAAAUUUUAUCACACACGUGUAUAUAUAUAUAUAUUAAAUUCAAAAUAUAAUUACUAGUUUAAAAAUAAAUUACAAUAAAAAAAUAAAAUUUAUAAUUUGAAAUUGAUUAAUUAUAACAUUAGAAAUAUGUACAAUACUAUAUAAUGAAAAGAAUUUAGAUUAAAGAAUAUUAAAUGAAUACAAUGAUUUAUCAUUGUAUUGUAUUUUAAUUUGUCAUUCUUUAUUUUUAGUAUUGAUCCAAAUAAAGACCAUUAAAUUUUAAUAUUUUUUAUGAUAAACAUAUUAUCGCGUAUAUAAUGUCAUGUCAAUUUCUUAUUUUCAUAUAAUAUUAAGAGUUACGUUAUUUUAGUGAAUAAAUUUAGUAACUAUCAUUUUAAAUCGUGAUUAAAAUUUCAAAAUUCGAAAAAUGUAAGGAUCAAAAAGAAUUUAAAAAUACAAAUUAAACUCAUAAUUUUUACAUAAUACGAAAUUAAUAGUAAAAUUUGACCGAACAACUUACCACUACUAUUUGAUUAGGAUUAAAAUUUGAUAAAUAUAAAAUCAAAAUUAUUCAAAUUAGAAUAUAAAAAAGAAAAUAUAAAUAACUUACAUCAAUUUAAUGAAGAAAUUUAUAACAGUGUAGAUAAAAGGAUAAGAUUGUUAACUAAAUUAGACCAUAUAAUAUACCAAAAAUAAAUGUGUUGUAAAUAGAGAUUUAUUAUUUGAGCCAUAUUAAACCUUUAAAGAUAAUUAAAUUCUUUUAAAAAAAUUUCUCAUAAAAUAAAUUUUAAUUUCAAGAUGUUAUUUAAGAGAGAUGAAUUUAUUAUUAUUAUUUUUGGUAAAUUAUAAUAAUAAGGUAAAGCUCGUAUAAUAAAUGUGACUACACUUGGACGGAUGAACACCGUUGACCAUUAGAUCAUCAUAUUGGAUUUAAUUUUUUUAUUACUUAACUUAAUAUAUAUAAGUAAUUUAUGGAAAAAUUAAGAUUUCUAAUUAAAUAUUAAUAAGUGGAAAUGUAAUUUCUGUUUUUAGAAUUUAUUUUCGAAAAUGAAAAACAAAAAGGAAAGCCCAAAAGUUGAGUCCAUUAGAUGACUUGUCGGCUGGCACCAGCUAUGCAAAAAGGUAGUAGUCAGUUAGUCACUGCUAGGCGCUAACUUCCUAAAAAUUAAAAAAAAAAAAAUUCUAUUUCAUUUAUCUAUCUUCAUCAAAUCGAAUCCUCCAUCAUAUAUUUUUUUUUCAUUUUAAGAAAUUUAUUUUUACUUAAAUUUAAUAUUUAAAUCAUAUCAUAUGAUUCAAUAAAUAUUUGAUAUAUGUAUUUUUAUAAGUAUUAAAUUAAAAUGAAAUAACUCAUGGACUAAAUUAAAUAUCAAAUAAAAUUCAUGAGCUUAAGUGAAAAACAUUUAAAUAUUAAAAUGAAAAAAAUUAAUUAUCAUUAAAACAAAAAUAUACUAAAUUCAACAUAAAACUUAAGUAGCAGAUGAUAUAUUAAACAUUUCCUUUUUAACUGUAACACUGGAAUGUUAUUUACUAGUAGUGUGGUAGUUUUAAAGCACAAAAGGAAAAGCUAAAAGCUUCGCGCAAACGCUUUGAUUGAUGUUUCCUUUAUCUUAAACUCUUCCCUUUAUUGUCUUUCUCCGUUUAUCCUUCUCUUUGGUGAGAGAGAAAGUGGGAUGCGGAGACUGAGAAAAUCGGAAGAAAAUUAGCGAUGGUGGUCAGAAAAGUAGGGAAGUAUGAGAUUGGAAGAACUAUCGGCGAAGGAACCUUUGCGAAGGUUAAGUUCGCGCAAAACACGGAGACCGGCGAAAGUGUUGCCAUGAAAGUCCUCGAUCGCAGCACCAUUAUCAAGCAUAAAAUGGUCGAUCAGGUCAAAUUUCCAUCUUUUAUGUUACUGGAUAGAAAUUUCGGUAAAUUUAUGAGAAAAAUGUUGAACUUGCAACAAAAUAGUAGUUUUAUUUAUUUUUGUCUACUUUUUUUUUAAUGUAAUUUUACUGAAUCAAAGGUGAAAUCGGUAAAUUAUCAUCGCUCAAAUAGUGGUAAUAGUUAUCAUUUCUUAUAAUUAAGCUUUAUUAUGAUUUGAAAAUUUGAAUUUUUUUUCAAGUUAAGAAUCAUGACUUUUGUUUUCCUUUUAUAUUUAUUAAUUAAUUCAGAUCAAAAGAGAGAUAUCUAUAAUGAAGCUUGUUAGACAUCCUUACGUUGUUCGUUUGCACGAGGUAAGUAAUUUAGUAGCAUCACUAGACUACUGAAUUUUUAAUAUCUCUCACGAUUGGUUGGUUUCUAACAGUGUUAAUUUUUUAUUUAUUAGGUUAUAGCGAGUCGAACUAGGAUUUAUAUCAUCUUGGAAUUCAUUACUGGUGGCGAAUUAUUCGAUAAAUUAGUAUGUAUCUUAGAAGAAAAGAUCCAAUUUUGGUUGCAUUAUCGGGUUUGUUUUAAGGGCGGACGGUAAAUUGGUAAUCUUGCAGGUUCAUAAUGGUCGUUUUAGUGAAGCUGAAGCUAGAAGAUAUUUCCAACAGCUUAUUGAUGGUGUGGAAUUUUGCCAUAGCAAGGGAGUCUACCACAGAGAUUUGAAGGUGUUAUUUUUCUUAACGAUCGAGUUGCUAUUUUUCUUUGAAUGGUUUCAUAAAUUCUGACUUGUUGGCUUCUAUAUACAGCCUGAAAAUCUUUUACUUGAUUCCCAAGGAAAUUUAAAGAUUUCAGAUUUUGGCCUUAGCGCGUUGCCAGAACAAGUAAGAAAUUAAGUGAAGAGUGAAAUUCUAUUUUCGCUUCCUCCCCUGACAUCAAAAUAGGCUGACAGCAAUAUAUAAUGAUAUUGGUUGUUAUUUGAUGACAUGUAUAUUUAGGGAGUUAGCCUACUUCGGACCACGUGUGGAACUCCCAACUAUGUGGCACCAGAGGUAAAAUUACAGGAUAGACAGCUUUUAUGUUGAAUGCGCCUAAUUUAAAUGUUUAUGUUCUGUUGUUGUCUUGCUUAUUAAACCGAUAUUUCAUUUUUGUUGCAGGUUCUUAGUCACAAGGGGUAUGAUGGUGCUGUGGCGGACGUCUGGUCUUGUGGGGUCAUCCUUUAUGUUCUGAUGGCAGGUUAUCUUCCAUUUGAUGAGCUUGAUCUCACCACACUAUACAGUAAGGUAUGUACGUUUUUAUGUUCACUAGUUUAUAUGAAAUUAAUGAAGAAAAUUUUCAUUUUGACAUUAUCAUUUAUCAGUACUGCAUAGCUUUUUUUAAUCUGCAGAUUGAGAGAGCAGAGUUUUCUUGCCCUUCUUGGUUUCCUAUGGGGGCAAAAUCCUUGAUUCGUAGAAUUCUAGAUCCAAAUCCUCAAACUGUAAGUACUUGUUGUCCAACAAUUUUGAAUUGCUUGGGCUGCCUAAUUGCUACAAUAAGUAAUAAGGUUGUAGAAAUUAAUGGUGUGGUUUCAAGUUAUAUGAAAUGAUGCCUAGCUAUCCUGGAAUGCACCAUAAAACCUUUAUGUCUAGCCCGAUCACAAGUAUGCUAUAACCUUUCUGAUGGCUUCAGAGGAGCCAUUAUUUAUUUGGUGUUAGUGUUCUGAUAUCGCUCAUGCAGAACACUUUAUUUUGCAUGAAGGAUUCCAAUUCUGUUCUCAUUUGAAACUAGGUGCAUUGGCACCUAGCACCAUAUGGUAUUCUUUAUAUUGAUAUAUUUGUUUCUGUAAAUAUAAUAAUGGUUUCAAUAUGGCUAGUCUCUUUCUCCCCUUCUGCACAGCGAAUUACAAUUGAGUAAAUCAGGAGUGAUGAGUGGUUUAAGAAGAGCUAUGUUCCUGCCAGACUUCUUGAGUAUGAAGAUAUUAACUUGGAUGAUGUAAAUGCUGUUUUUGAUGAUCCUGAGAUUGAUAAGGUAUUUAACAGCUUUAAUAUAGUUAAAUAUGAUGUAAAAGUAUAAUUUGUGUUUUCCCGACAAUAACUUCAACCAAGUUUCCUUGUAUGCAUGUGCCUAAAUUGAGUGAGUUUGUUUGAAUGUUUCACCGUGAUUCAAACUCUUAUUUCCUAAUAUUAUACUGUAGGAAGAAAGAGGUGAUGAGCCAUCAAGAAAUGAGGAUAUGGGUCCUUUGAAUCUUAAUGCAUUUGACUUGAUCAUUCUCUCUCAAGGCUUGAAUCUUGCAACACUUUUUGACCGCGGGAAGGUAUAGUUCUUUAAUAAAUAGUCAAAAUUGCAUUUCUACCGCUUUUGACCAGUUUUUGAAGGAACUAAUUGUUUUUUAUGGGUUUUUUUUACCAACCAAACAGCAUGCUUGGAAAAGCUGCUCAGUUUUUUGUUUUUGCUUUUUGAUGUUUAGUGCUGUCUGUCUAUGAGCAGUAGUUUACUAUCAGGAAAUCAUAUAUGGCGAUUUCUAAAUAUCUUGAACUUGGGAUAUAUUUCCUUGAGGCAGUCCAAUACAUGUUUUUUCCUUCCAUUCCUCAACUAUAUGAAUGCGUUAUUCUCCCUGUCAGGACACCAUGAAGCACCAGACAAGAUUUGUUUCACGGAAGCCAGCAAGGGUUGUUCUGUCCAGCAUGGAAGUUGUUGCUCAAUCAAUGGGCUAUAAGACACACAUUCGCAAUUAUAAGGUAGAUGACUCGGGCGAUUAACAAUUGCUUAUUUUAGAUUUUGCUCUUUAUUACAAUUUACAUAUGGCUAUUAUGCAUUCUAGUAAGUAAACAAGUUCUCUAGUUCCUUCACAAUUGUUUCAUUCCCUAUGUUUGCCAAUAAUGUCAUCGACUGGACUGGAGAAUAAUCUUGUUAACUCUGGUCAUGUGUUGAUUUUUUCAGAUGAGAGUUGAAGGCCUUUCAGCUAAUAAGACUCCUCAUUUUUCAGUUAUCCUCGAAGAAGGUUUUUGAUCUCAACUCUUGCUAAAUUCUUCAUUAGCUUUUAAAUAAUUUUGUUUUUCUCCCCUAUCCCUUGAUUGCUCCCGGGAAUUUGAAGGUUUUCGAGGUUGCUCCCACGUUUUUUAUGGUAGAUAUUCAAAAGGCAGCUGGUGAUGCCGGGGACUACCUAAAGGUUAGUUACCUUGUUCCACUUGCAUGCCGAGUGCUGUUUAGUCAAGUAAUCUGCUUUUAACAUUCUUUUUCACACGGUUUCUCGGGAUAUCCUUCCGGGUCAGCCUUCCCUCAAUGCCCAUCCCUUCCCCCUUGAAUAUAAUCUCUCUUUCGCUCUCUGUUUUCAUUAGCAUUCGGAUUCGAAAAUAAAAAAUGCACCUUCGUUUCACAGUUCUACAAGACAUUUUGUAGCAACCUGGAUGACAUCAUAUGGAAACCACCUAACGAAUCAAGCAAAUCAAGGAUCAGAAAGUCCAAGAGUAAAAGACGUUGAACAUUGCCCGUAUUUUGAGUCCAUAAUCACUAUGUAUACGUAGGAUUACAAGUUACAACCUCGAGGUUGAAGUUACGGCUUACCUAACCCUUCCAAACUCCUCUGCAACGCCAAAGAGGAACAGGAAAAACAUAUAUGUAUGUAUAGUAUUUAUCUGGACUUUCUGUGUGGUUAAUGUUUGUAAAGCUUUCUUUGAUUUGAUCCAUAAUUUAUGUCUUUGAGCAAAAUGCUAUAUGUUGCAACCAUGCUGUAAACACGCAAAGUACCCGAGUUUAUCAAAUGGAGACCGUCAUUUUACGGUUCCUCAAAAUUAUAGAGCAUUACGAAUGCCAAAUUUAUACUUGUAAGGCCUUUUAGAUUGCUCAUGAAUUUUUUUUUAUUAACACUCAUGAAUAUUAGAUAUAUACGAAUUUCUAUGGAACGAAUCCAGCUCUAUUCAUUUUCAAUAAUGAAUUAAAACGAUUUCAUGUAGCUCGAUUUAUUUAUAUCAUCAUCACUAUUAUUGAAAAAGCAAGCUCGAUUUGAUAACGAACCCAUAAAAUUUAAAAUUAUUGUAACAAAACCUAAAAUAAAUUGCCUGAUGCUUACACCUUAAUGAAACGGAACAUAUUUUUGUAAUAAUUUGUGCAAUUAAAUAAUAUUGAAUAAGUUUAUAAUUUGAAAAAUUAUUUAGUACCGAAUGAAAUUUUUAGACUCUACAAAUGAAGUUAGAAGUUAAUAAGCGUUUUAUAAGAAUAUAAUAAAAUAAUAAAAAAAUAAUACUUAAAAAGAAGGCAUAUAUAAUUUUUUAAAAUUACUUGUAGAGUAAAAAAUGCACUGUGAUUAUACUAAAUAAUCGCUUAUAGUUUAUACAAAAUUUAUAAUAAUUAAUAUGAUUUGAUUAACAUUUUAUGUAAUUGGAACUCAUUUUCGCUCUAUAGAGUACACGUAAAAUCUUCCCAAGCUCAUUAAGUUAGACAUUUGGUUCGGGAACUAGCAGGAAGCCGAACCUCUAGGCUUGGUUCGAAACUAGGUCGAACGAGAGACUACCCAAUCAUAGCCUGUUAAAGGGGCAACGGGCAUCAGAUUGGAUUGAAGCUAAAUAAUCUUAAUAUAAACCUCUUCAAAAUUUUAAAUUAGAAUAUAAUACAUAUUUAAAUGGGUUUAAAUUCAUUAUUGUUACAACAAUGACGACAUGUCAUCCGAUUAUAAUAUAUUUCUUUUUGGAUGUAUCUCAUAAAUAAAUUUAUAAGAAUUAUAAUUAAAUAUCACAUUAAUAUAAAAGAUUAUUAAAAAAAUAUAAUGAUAAAUUUCACUUUCAAUAUUUAUAUAUAUUUUUAAUUUGAUCCUAAUAUUUUGCUUGAGUUAAAUUUGAUUAUUAAUUUUUUUAAAAAGUUCAAUCGUUUUUUAAGAAAAUUCCUAACUAAAACAUUUGUUUUUCAAUGAUGUUUGCAUGACAAUUCGCAUGAUAAUCCAUGUAUACUCAAUGUUGGCAUAAACUAUUUGUUUUAUAUGUCACAUUAACAAAUAAUUUGAAAGUAUAAAAAUAUUCAAAAUAAAAAUUAUAAAAAAGUUCAUAAAAUUUUUAAAAAAAUGAAGCACACAUGGAUUGCCAUGCAGGCUGUCAUAUUUAAAUAUUUAACGUUUUGUUUAGUAUUUCGUUAAAAAGAAUUAUUUAAUUCUUUUUAAAAAGUUGAGGGCCAAAUUUACAUUAAAAAAAAGAAUAAUGAUUAAAUUGAUAAAAUAUAUAAACAUUAAGGUCUUAAUUGAUCAUUAUGUCUUAUAAUUUAAUGUAAUUGAAAUAAAAAAAUAUUUUUUAAAAUUAUUCUAACAAGAGAUAUUCAUCAAGAUAAUAAUAAAAGGGAAAUAUUUUAUACAUUGCGAGUUUUUAAGUUAUAUAAGUGGAAUUAAAGGGUUGAUAAAUAUUCUAUAAUUUUUAAAAUUAUAAAAUAAAAAUAAAAUAAUACCGAUGUACUAAAUAUUCAUCUCUAAUAAAAAUGAUAAAAAAUGAAAAAUUGUGAUAAAUGAUAAUAAUGUUGUGAAAUAAUAAAGAAAGAAUAAACUAAAAUGUGAUAGAAGAAAAAGUGUAGAGAGAAUAUAGAAGAAAGAGUGUAUCUUCUUUUUUUAUUAUUUUUCAUGAGUACAUGAGCCCCAUAUAUAUGGGGGUUAAAAGUAACUCUCUAAUUAUUAUAGGGCAUGUAAAGGGUCAUGACCUUUUAUCUCCCAUAUUAAUGGGGUAUAGGAAAAGCUUCAUAACUUAUGGGGUAUAGGAAGAGUUUUAUAACUUAUGGGGUUGAUAAUGACAUCCACAUAAAUAUUUCAUAACACUCCCCCUUGGAUGUUCAUUAUCUAAUUAUACCUCGUUAAAACCUUACUAAGAAAAACCCAGUAGGACAAAAAACUUAGUGAAGGAAAAAGAGUACAUAAUUAUACGCUUGAUAUGCUGCCUCAUUAAAAACCUUACCUGGAAAACCCAGUGGGAUAAAACCAAGGUUAAGGGAAAAAGAGUACAGCGCAUAUUAACUCCCCCUAAUGGCUACAUCACUUGAGAUCUCGAAGGUGACGCAUUCCAAUGUAGUAAACAAGCUUCUAAAACACUAAUGUAGGAAGCGCCUUAGUGAAUAAAUCUGCUAAAUUCUCACUUGAACUGAUCUACUUAACUUUUAUCUCCUUAAUCUUCUGGAGGUCAUGAGUGAAGAAGAAUUUUGGUGCAAUGUGUUUUGUUCUGUCACCUUUGAUGUAUCCACUAUCGAGCUGAUCAAUGCAUGUUGUGUUCUCUUCAAACAAGACAGUUGUAGCUUCCUUUCCAGAUGAUAAACCACAAUUAUUCCUUAUAUGCUGGAUCAUAGAUCUUAGCCAUACACAUUCACGACUUGCUUCAUGGAUUGCUAAGAUUUCUGCAUGAUUAGACAAGGUUGCUGCAAUUGUUUGCUUCAUUGAGCGCCAAGAGAUUGCAGUACCUCCAUAUGUAAAAACAUAUCCAGUUUGUGAUUUUCCAUUAUGAGGAUCUGACAUAAAUCCUGUAACACCCCCUAAUCCCAAACCGUCGCCGGAAUAGGGUUACGAGGCGUUACCGAACAUAUUGGUUAAUUUACAAACAAUUCAUGAAUAAACAACAAAUAUAUUAAAAUUAAAUCAUUAAGUCUCUUUUAUGAACCCUCGAGGCCUAAAUCACGUAUUAUAAAUGAAUAGGGACUUAUUCAAGUACUCCGAAAAUUUUUCGUAAUAUAAUAAUUAUAUUUUUUUUAAAAAUAAUUCAAUAUAACCCCUUUAGAAACAUCUAACCUUCCCUGCAAUUUCAAAUUUGCAACUAACUCAACACAACAACAACUCAACAAAUACAAUCUUCAUCCAAAUCACAUUCAUCUUAUAACAAUAUCACUAAUCCUUAUUUUAUCUAACAUUAUAUCCAUUCAUACUUUCAAGUAGUAUUUAAACAUCUUAAUUAAUUUCCAUUCAUAUCAUAUAUCAACUUAUAUUAACUUAACUAAUAUAUUCAUGAGUUGAUACAAAACAUAGUCACAUAAGCUCCUAUACAUGCCAUAUAAACCAUUUAAAGCAUUUAUAACAAAAUCUACCGGAAAAUCGAGAUAAUGUGACUUGAGUGUGAUGAUCCGAUCUUCUGACCCUCCCGUUAAUCUACAAAGAGCAAUAAACAUUACAGGUAAGCUAACUAUAGCUUAGUAAGUUCGUCGGCUUAAACCAUAAACCUUACCAAUAUUAGUUUCAAAAAUUCAAAUCAUAUGGACAUUUCAAGUAAGUUAUUUUCAUCCUAUAAAUCAUAAUUUCAUUUUAAAAAUAAUUUACUUAAUUGAGCUCAAAAAUAAUGAUAACAUUAUUUACAUUUCUUUUUCCACACGUUACAAUUAUGACUUAUCGACUUGUCAAUUUAAGGAACGACUUACGGAUUUGAGUACAUCGUGAUCUGAAACCCGAAAUCUAACUGAAGCACAUAAGUGCUAAACGGAAGCCCGAAGGCUAACUGAAGCUCAUCAGAGCUGAACUGAAACCCCAAAAGGGUUAACUGAAACUUAUAUGAGUUAACGGAAGCUCGUAAGAGCUAAACAAAAAGCAAACACGAGAGUUCGCAACAAAUGCUGAAUCUCGGUUUACUUGUGUAAUUUACCGUCAAUUCGUCUUUUCAUCGAACGUUCGUACUCGUUUCCUGCGUUCCGUUCCUCCGAAAUACUCAGUUCAAUUUCGUAACUUUUGUACAUGAUUUAAUUACUUUCAACAAUUAACAUACAUAAAUAUUAAUCACCAUUCAUAAAAUAACAUUGAAAUUUAAUAAUUUAAAUGUACGAACUUACCCGAAACAAUUUGCAGUAGUUGUAGAGAUUUCUGGAACUAUUCCGAAAUUUUCUCUUUUCCUCGUUUAUCCUCGAUUUCUUGAUCUAUAAUAUAAAAUUUUUCACUUAUCAGUAUUGACUUCACAUUUAUUCUAUUUCAUAUCCUUAAUGUUUAUAACCCGCUUAUAAGUAACAUUAUCUGGAAUUUCACUAUUUACUUAUGUAUAUUCAAUGCUGUCCAUCCGUGUCAUAGUCACUAAAUUAUUUUUAUCUUCAGCUAAAGAACUCCAAAUUAGGAUCCGCUAAUUUUUCCUGAAACUAGACUCACAUAUCUUCUUAUCAUAAAAUUUUCAGAAUUUUUAGUUUAUCCAAUAAUUAGAGUUUAUUUUUAAAGUCACCCCUGUUCUGCUAUCUGUCAACUCCGACCCUUCUUCACUAAAAAUUAAUUAUAUCUUCGUACAGAAUUCGGAUGAUGUCCAUGUUUGUUUCUAUUGAAAAUAGACUCAUUAAAGAUUUUAAAAAUAUAAAUUUAAGCCCCUAAUUAUUUUUCUCAAAUUUUUUAUGAUUUUCCAAAGUGAGAAUAGGGGAACCCAAAAUCAUUCUGACAUUGUCUCACAAAAUCUAUUAUAUCUCAUGAUCUACAAUUUCGUUGCUUACACCGUUUCUUCUAUGAGAAACUAGAUUCAAUAAGAUUUAAUUUCAUAUUUUUUUAAUCUUCUAAUUCGAUUUCUAAAAUUUAUGGUGAUUUUUAAAAGUUAGACUACUGCUGCUGUCCAAAACUGUUUUAGUGCAAAUGUUGAUUUCGAUUUUUGCCCCAAAUUUCACAGUUCAUACAAUUCAGUCCUUGUUCAAUUAAUCCCUCAAUGAAGCUAAUUUUUCCUAAUUAAUGCUUUACCUAGACAUUAUAAGUUAUUUCACAAUUAUUUAAAUUAAUAAUUUCCACAUAAAACCCUAACUUCAAACUGUUUCACCAUUAGGUCCCAAACAUUCACUUUCUAUUCAAUUCUUUCAAUAAAAUCAGCAUAUAAACAAUUUAAAACUCUAAUUCCAUGCUAAAUCACCAUAUACUUCCAGCACAUAUUCAUAGAAACUUCCAAUUUCUUUCAUAGAAUCAAAAACUAAUGAAUUCAACAAGUAGACCUAGUUGUAAAAGUCAUAAAAACACAAAAAUUUCAAGAAAUAAUCAAGAAUUGAACUUACUUGCAGUAAAAAUAUGAAAAACCAGCUUAAGAAAACCCUUCUAUGGUGUUUUUUCUGAUGAGAAUGCAGAAAAAUAAUGAGAAAUCUAGAUAAUUUCACUUUAGUCCUAGGUUUAUUAAGUAAAUUUUGUAAUAUUUUAAUUUUGCCCUUAAUCCAUCAAUUUUCCUACUGAUUUCAUGCCUCUUACCGUCCAUCCCAAAUAUACCUUGGGUCUAUUUUCCUUUUAAACCCUCUUUCUUUUAUCAUUUAAGCUAUUUAAUCAUUUCCCAUAAUUUUACAUUUGUUACAAUUUAAUCCUUUUUAUUUAAUUAACUAUCGAAACUUUAAAAUUUCUUAACGAAACUUUAAUACUAACUUAUUAACACUCCAUAAAUAUUUAUAAAAAUAUUUAUGGCUCAUUUUAAAAUUUUCAAACUCUCGAUAUCUCAUAUCCGAUUCUAAUUUUUAAAAUUUUUAUUUCUAGUACACUAUUCGCUAUUUCAAAAAUUUUCCUAACUUCACACUUAACUUAUAUUCACUAAAUUAUUAAUAUUUUCUACUCAUUUUUCAGAUUCAGUGAUCUCGAAUCACUGUUCCGACACCACUGGAAAUUUAGGUUUAUUACAAAUCCUGCAUCUGCAAAACCAAUCAACUCUGUCUUUGAUUUAUUAGGGAAAAAUAGACCCAUAUUCUUUGUGCAUUGGAGAUAACGAAAUAUCUGUUUUAAUCCAGUCCAAUGUCUCCGAGUUGGGCAUGAGCUAAAUCUUGCUAGCAAAUUUACAGAAAAAGAUAUAUCAGGUCGGGUAUGGCUAACAAGAUACAUUAAUGCCCCAAUUGCACUAAGGUAUGACACUUCAGGACCAAUAAAAUCUUCACUAUCUUCCCGAGGACGGAAAGGGUCUUUACUUGGAUCAAGUGAUCUUACAACCAUCGGGGUAGUUUUUGGAUGUGCCUUAUCCAUAUAAAAUCUCUUUAGCACCUUUUCAAUAUACGUUGAUUGAUGCACAAGGAUUCCUUCUUUUAGGUGCUCAAUUUGUAACCCCAAACAAAAUUUCGUUCUUCCAAGGUCUUUCAUUUCAAAUUCUUUCUUCAAGUACUCAACAGUCUUUUAGAUCUCUUCAGGAGUUCCAAUGAUAUUCAAAUCAUCAACAUAUACUGCAAUAAUUACAUAUCCAGAUCCAAACUUCUUAAUGAAAAUGCAUGGGCAAAUUGGAUCAUUCUUGUAUCAUUCUUUCAACAAAUACUCGCUUAGGCGAUUAUACCACAUGCGUCUGGAUUGUUUCAAUCCAUAAAGGGAUUUGUGCAAUUUGAUCAAAUAAUGUUCUCUAGAACCUGAACUCACUGCUUCAGGUAGUUUAAAUCCUUCAGGGAGUUUCAUAUAUAUGUUAGUAUCCAGUGGGCCAUACAAAUAAGCUGUUACUACAUCCAUUAGACUUAAAUCAAGCCCUUCUCUUAUAGCCAGACUUAUCAAAAAUCUAAAUGUAGUUGUAUCCAUCACAGGAGAAUAUGUCUCCUCAUAAUCAAUUCCAGGUCUUUGUGAGAAUCCUUGUACAAUUAAACGUGCUUUAUACCUUACAAUUUCAUUCUUUUCAUUUCUUUUACACACAAAAACUCAUCUAUAUUCCACUGGUUUCACACUUGUAGGUAUACGGACUACAGGUCCAAACACUUCUCUUUUCGCUAGUGAUUUCAAUUCAUUUUCAAUUGCUUUUUUCCAUUUUGGCCAAUCAUCUCUUUGUUUACAUUCCUCAAUCGAUUUUGAUUCAUAAUCCUCUUUAUUAUUUAUAACAUCUAGUGCUACAUUGCAUGCAAAAAUAUCAUCGACGUCGAUUUGAUUUUGGUUCCAUUUUAUACCAGACAUGACAUAAUCAAUAGAGAUCUCUUCAUUGUCAGGUACCUGAUUUUCUUCUGAAACUAUUCUUCCAAUUAUGUCUAUAGUCUCUUCAGGAGAUCCCGGUAUAAUCAUUUUUUCUUUGAUUUCGCUAUCAUUAAUCUUUGCUCCUUUCUUUUUUCGAGGAUUCUUAUCUUUGGAACCAAUUGGUCUACCAUGCUUCAGGCGUGUAUUAGACUCAGUAGCAACUAGAUUUUGUCCUUCUGGGACAUCAAGUUUUAUUGGAGCAUUCACAGCUGGUAUAUGUGACUUAGUCACUUUCUUUGGGUCAGAAAAUGCGUCUGGCAAUUUAUUAGCUAAACUUUGUAAAUGAAUAAUCUUUUGAACUUCUAAAUCACAUUACUUAGUUCGAGGAUCAAGAUGAGCUAAUGACAACUCUUUCCAACUAAUUUUCUUAUCCAGCUGUUUGAUUUCUCCCCCUAGUGUUGGAAAAAUUGACUCUUUAAAAUGACAAUCUGCAAAACGAGCCGUAAAUAGAUUCCCUGUAGAUGGUUCUAGAUAUUUAAUUAUGGAUAGGGAUUCAAAUCCAACAUAUAUACCCAACCUUCUUUGAGGUCCCAUCUUAGUUCUAUGUGGUGGAGCAAUUGUAACAUAUACAACACAUCCAAAUGUUCUUAGAGGGGAAAUAUUUGGUUCCUGACCAUGAACUAUUUGUAAGGGGGAGACUUUUUGAUAACUUGUUGGCCUGAUGAGAAUUAAUGCAGCUGCAUGUAAAAUUGCAUACCCCUAAGCAGUGAUUGGGAGUUUUGACUUCAUAAGUAAUGACCCUGCUAUCAAUUGAAGUCGUUUUAUUAAAGAUUCUGCUAGACCAUUUUGUGUGUGAACAUGAGCUACAGGAUGUUCAACACUUAUUCCAAUGGACAUGCAAUAGUUAUUAAAAGACUGAGAAGUAAACUCACCAGCAUUAUCAAGACGAAUGGUCUUAAUAGGAAAAUCUGGGAAAUGGGCUCGUAAUCGAAUCAAUUGAGCAAGCAAUCUCGCAAACGCCAGGUUGCGAGUUGAUAACAAAGAUACAUGAGACCAUCUACUCGAUGCAUCAAUUAAAACCAUAAAGUAUCUAAAUGGUCCACAUGGGGGAUAUAUAUGCCCACAUAUAUCCCCUUGAAUUCGCUCAAGAAAAGUAAGUGGUUCGUUAUUUAUCUUAGCUGGUGAUGGUUAGAUUAUUAAUUUCCCCAGUGAACAUGCAGCACAUGUAAUGUUUUGAAGAAUCUGCUGGCUCUUCAAUGAAUGUAUACAUGAAUUUUUAAUUAUUUUUCGCAUCAUUAUUGAACUGGGAUGGCCUAACCGGUCAUGCCAAAGAACAAAGUCAUUAGUAAACUUCUGGUUUAUUAUAGCAUGUGUUUCUAUAGAACUGAUCUUUGUGUAGUACAAACCAGUAAAGAAUGCAGGCAAUUUCUUAACAGUGUGUUUAUUGCCUUGAGCAAUACUCGUAAUUUGAAGGAAUUCACAAUUUCCUUCGUUUAAAGUCUCAAUAUGAUAUCCAUUUUGGCGAAUAUCUUUAAAACUCAAUAAAUUUCUUUGAGACUUAGGAGAGUAUAAUGCAUUAAUAAUUUCAAUUUUUGUUCCCCUUGGUAAUAAAAUAAUUGCUCUUCUGGAGCUUUCUAUAAUAGUUGUACUACCAGAUAUAGUGCUCACACUUUCUUCUUUCAUUAUUAAAUGAGAAAAAUAUCUCUUGUCUUUCAAUAUGGUGUGAGUAGUUGCACUGUCUGCUAGACAUAUAUUUUCACCAUUCAUAGCUGAUUGCCUUUGCGAGAUAAUGUUCUUCAAAGAAACAAAAUAACCUCAAAAUGUUACACAUAAUGGUGAAAACAGGUAUUCAAAGUUCAAAUUACUAAAAGGUCUAUAAAACAAAAUUAUCACAUAAAACAUAGCACUAGUAAAGGUCAUAACAUCAUUAUUAAAGUUGCUAAAUGAAACAUAGAGUAGUAGAGGUUUAUUUUAUUAUUUAACGAAAUUUAUGGCCUUAAUAAUUUCCUUCAGGAGUAGAAAGAAAAUCAGCCACUUCUAAGUGGGUUGCAUUGCCACCAUCAAAAUCACCUUCACCAUCUUUAUACACAAGAUUGGUUUCUACUUUCUUUCCCUUCUGUUUUAUAGACUGCUGAUAAAAAUCAACUAGAUGCUUUUGUGUGCGACACACACGAGACCAAUGUCCUUUUUCUUCAUAAUAAUAGCAUACAUUAGUCACAUUUUCACCUUUUUCUUUCUCUUCCCUGUUACCAUUUUUUCGAUCCCACUUCUGGUAGGAAUGUGAAUUUUUAAAACGAUCACCUCACCAUAUCCAUAUCUAUGUACGCGGCCACGCCCUCGGCCAAGACCACAGCCACGCACACUACUAUUUGCAUAGUGUGUUUCUUUUAAUUCUUGCCCAUUGUGUAAACUCACAUUCGCUUCAGGGAAUGGAGCAGAGCCAGUUGGGUGUAAUUCAUGGUUUUUCAUUAGCAGCUCGUUGUUUUGCUCCGCCACUAGGAGAUAAGAAAUUAAUUCAGAAUAUUUCUGGAAGCCUUUUUCACGAUAUUGUGUCUGCAGGACAACAUUAUUUGCAUGGAAAGUUGAGUAUGUUUUUUCUAACAUUUCUACAUCAGUAAUCUUCUCUCCACAUAAAUUCAAUUGUGAAGUGAUUCUGAACAUGGCCGAGUUAUAAUCACUAACAGACUUAAAGUCUUGCAAUCUUAAAUUCAGCCACUCAUAACGAGCUUUAGGCAAAAUCACAGUUUUCUGGUGGUCAUACCUUUCCUUUAGAUUGGCCCAAAGAAUUUGAGGGUCAUUAACAGUCAAAUAUUCGGUCUUUAGACCUUCAUGGAGGUGAUGGAGAAGGAAAAUCAUGGCCUUGGCCUUAUCUUGUGUACUUUCUUCAUUUCCCUCCUUAAUAGUCUCACCAAGACCCUUUGCAUCUAAGUGAAUUAUUAUAGGGCAUGUAAAGGGUCAUGACCUUUUAUCUCCCAUAUUAAUAGGGUAUAGGAAAAGUCUCAUAACUUAUGGGGUAUAGGAAGAGUUUCAUAACUUAUGGGGUUGAUAAUGACAUCCACAUAAAUAUUUCAUAACAAAUAAUAAUUAAAAAAAAUGGUAACUUCUUUUAUCAUUAUUUGGGAUUGAAAGGUCAUCAUAUUCAUUAAAAAAACAAAAAAGAGAGAAAAGAAGAUAGGAUUGAAAAGUUAGCCACACUAAUUAAUGAAGGGCAUUUUUUAGUAACUUCGUAUACAUCCAAUCUUUUCAAUAUCUUUUUUAUUGAAAAAGACGUACGAACCUAUUGAGAGAAAAUUAAGCUUUUAAACUUGAAGUAACGAAAGAGAUUGAAGUUUAUAUUAUUUUAUUAUUGUUAAGUAUUUCUAUCACAUUCAAAUUGAAAUUUAUUUUGUUCUAAAUUAAAAGUUAAAAAUCUUGUUUGUCCCACUUUACAAAAGUCAAAUUUUAUUUACGAGAAUUAUAGAUUAGUUCUUUAUAUUUUAAUUUAAUUAUUUUUAAUGUAAAUUUAUUUAAAUUUUAAAAUUUUAAUUAUAAUCUAAAAGAUAAUCAUUAAAUUUCUAACUUAACUAAUUUAAAUAAUUAUCAUUAAAUCAUAUUAUUACAUAUGUAAUGUCAUAUUAAUUUAUUGUUUUUAUAUAACACUCAUAAAAAAAUAUAAUGAAAAAUAGAUGAAGUAUAACCCAAUUUUAUAAUUAAAACUAGGUUAUACGUCAAUUAUAUUUUUUUGAGCGAUAGUGCAAAGUUGAAAUAGUAAUUAAUUAAAAAAAUUAGAUUUUCGUUGAGAAGAACGAUGAGGUAACUAAUUAAUUUUUAAUAAUUAAUUAACCAUUGACUAAAGUUAUUGGAAUCUAUGGAAUUUUAGAAUCUUUAGCCGCUGUCUGCACCCUGGCUGGUUGUCUUAUAACGUCAAGCUACCUCCAUGAACAGUGAAGUGAUUGUCUCCCAUAAUUAAUUAAUUAAUCAGACACUUUUUGGACGAAACGGCCUCCCUUCCGUGAUUUACUUUUUUUUAUUUAUUUACAAAUUGAUUAUUAGCCCACUAAUUUGUAGCUUUGCCAACCAAUUAAACAACCACCAUUUAUUACAAUCAUAUAGGAAUCAUCGUUCAAACAAAAGUAAGAAUAAGAAUUUGCCCCGCCCCAUCAUUAUCCAAUAAUUUGACUCUCUCAAUUACUUUAGAUUUAAAUUUUAAAAUGUACUGUUUAGAUAUAAAAUGUUACCUUUGAUAUUGAGUAUAUUUAAAAUAUAUGGUGCAAAUUUUAAAUACAUUUAUAUAACUUAUCAGAUUUUAGAAUUUAGAUUUAGAUUUUAAAAAUAAUGUAAAUUGAGUAGUAAAACUGUUAGAAAUGUAAUAUUCAUGAUAAUUUUUCAAAUUUAUUAAUUUGUUAAAUACCUAUUUAAUAAUGAAUUUGAUUUGUGUUUUUUUUUAGCAUUUGUCAAAUUCAUGUUUUUAUAUUUUUCAAGUAUAUAUCUAGCUGUCUUAUUUUUACAUAAUAAGCAGAAUUCAAAUCUAAAAUUUCACAUCCAUAUUACCAAACAGAGCUAAAAGGAAAUGUCCUUAAAAUUUAAAGAUACUAUGUAUAAUUUUUAAAUAUAUUAUUGGUCUAGCUAAAAUUUAACCCCAAGAACUUAAUUAAUAAAACAUCCCAUACAAUAAUGAUUUAAUUCAAACAUUUAAAAAAUUUAAGCUACGGAGACUUAAAAUUAAUAAUAUCAAUAAUAAUAAGACAACAAUAGGUAUAGUGGACAUAUAGUGGUACUAUUUAAAGGAGAGUCACAAACAUAUAAACACACCCAGUAAAAGCAAAAUAUUUCCUUUAAUUUUUCUUAGGACUAAAAUAUGUCUUAUAAAAGUAAAUAAAAGAAAGUGACAUAGAUGUACUAAACAAGAAGCAGGAAUUGCAGCUAAGCUAAACUCAUUCAAUAGUUUUUAUUCUCUUUAGUUUUUCGAUUGUUUCUCAAAAAAUGGGAACUAUGGAAAUUGAAGCAACAGUACCAAAACUAGCUGAGGAAGUGGUGAAAGAGGAGGGUGAAAUGGACGAAAUCGAGGUGUCUCCGAUUGAACAAGUUCGUCUGACAGUGCCCAACACCGAUGACCCUUCGCUCCCUGUAUGGACUUUCCGUAUGUGGUUCUUGGGUCUUUUCUCUUGCGCCCUCCUUUCCUUCCUGAACCAGUUUUUCGGCUACCGAACCGAGCCGCUCGUCAUCACCCAAAUCACCGUCCAGGUGGCCACUCUUCCCAUCGGACGCUUCAUGGCUUCGGCUCUUCCCGCCACUAAGUUUCGUAUACCUGGGUUCGGUUCGAAGGAAUUCUCGCUUAACCCCGGACCGUUUAACAUGAAGGAGCAUGUUCUAAUAACGAUAUUUGCUAAUGCUGGAAGUGGUUUUGGAAAUGGUACUGUUUAUGCUGUUAGUAUUGUUACCAUAAUCAAGGCUUUUUAUGGAAGGAGCAUCUCUUUCUUAUCUAGUUGGCUUCUUAUCAUGACUACACAGGUUGGUUUACUGCACUUCUUCUUGACUUUGAGGUUAAAAGAAGACCUUGAUUAUGGUAUAUAUAUCAUAUAUGUUCGACUGUUUUCAAAGAAAAGGAUUAACUGAGACUAUAGAUUGAGAAUCGAGAAUUUUUCAAGUUUGAAUAUUAAUUUCCAUUUUUUUUAUGGUAAGUAAUAUGUAGGGAAAAGAAACACAAAGAUCUAUAUAUAUACAUUUUUUUCUAAGUCUAGUUACAGUUCUCGACGUGCUUUCUUUUUUUGAUUUCUCACAUUUUAAGUUUUCAUUAACGCUUAGCGUUUCAUGGUAUGUAAGUGGAAAUUUUUUUAUUUUAUGAGUCUUAUUUUAUUAUUUUAAUUUAAUUUAAAAAAAUUUAAAUUGAGUCAAGUGAAAUUAUUUGAGUUAAAUUAAAAAUUUAAGUAUAUCAUAUUAAAAUUUUGUUACAAUAUAAUUAAUUUCAUAUUAAAAUACAAAAAUUUAAAAUCAUAUACAUUUGAAUUUUUUUCAAAGCAAAAUAAUAAUAAAAAUAUUUAGUAUGAUAAACUUGAAUCUUAAUUAAUUUAUUUAGAUCCCAAAAUUAUUAUUCUAAAUUUUUAAAAUUUUUUUAACUUUCUUUAUAUAUUUUUUAGAUUUUUUUUGAAAUUUUUAUAUAUUUUUUAAAAAUAUAAAUUUUAGAUUUUUUUAUAAAUAUUAUGAAAUUUUGAAAAAUUAUUUAAAUUUUAUUGUAAUUUUUAUUGAGAGGGUGUUAUUUAAAUUAUUCGAUGAAACUCUAAUUACCUAUUCGAGUCUUGAAUAACUCGAUUCAAUUAAUUUGAAAUUUAAUUUUUAUUUUAUUUUUUAGAAUUAGAUCGAGUUUUGUUAACCACUAAUUUAAACUUUAAUUUAUUUGGUUGUUAUAAGUGCAGGUUAUGGGAUAUGGUUGGGCGGGGAUACUGAGGAAGUAUGUGGUGGAGCCGGCGCACAUGUGGUGGCCCUCUACCCUUGUUCAAAUUUCUCUCUUCACGUAAGUUACUUUGGUCUUCUUCCUAUAUAUAUGUUGCAUGUAUGUUGAUGCUUUAAUUGGUCAAAUAUAUAUUUGUUAUACCUCGGAAACAUCUCACAUGGAAAUAGCAGUAAUACUUCUAUUUUCAGUUUGUUUCAGCAUUCAGUAUUCUACUUUGGAAAGGCGAUAAUUGGCAUAUAUAUAUUAUAUUGUACACUUUUCAUUGUUUAGCUACAAAUUCAAAAAGUUAUUGUACUGUAUAGUUGUGAUGAAUAUGACAUUGCAGGACUUUACAUGAGAAGGAAGAAAAUAAGGAUGGCAAGCGCCCCAUAGCACGAGUGAAAUUCUUCGUGAUAGCAUUAGUGAGUAGCUUCUGCUGGUAUGUUUUCCCAGGUUACCUCUUCCAAACCUUGCAAAGCAUCUCUUUGGCUUGCUUGGUCUUCCCCCAUUCGGUAACCGCCCACCAAAUCGGCUCAGGCAUGAAUGGUCUCGGUAUUGGGGCCUUCACACUUGACUGGACAACCGUUGCCUCUUUCUUGUUUAGCCCGCUUGUUUCGCCCUUCUUCGCCAUUGUAAACGUCUUCAUAGGAUAUGCCUUGAUUAUAUACCUCGUGAUGCCGGUAUCUUACUGGGGGCUAAACCUAUUCAACGCGAAAACAUUUCCCAUUUAUUCAUCGGACUUGUUCACCGCACAAGGUCAGGAGUAUAACGUUUCGUUGAUUGUUAACAAGAAGUUCGAGAUCGAUUUCCCAGAGUAUGAGAAGUUAGGGAGGGUCCAUAUGAGCACUUUCUUCGCUAUCACCUAUGGAUUUGGAUUCGCUACUAUUGCUGCCACCAUAACACAUGUGGCCUUGUUCUAUGGAAGGUAAAAAUUAUUUGGUUAUUUCGCAAGGUGAAACUUCAUUCUUCUAUUUGAUGUACAUCUUUUAAGUAAAAAAACAUGUUGAUUGCAGGGAAAUUUAUAGUCGAUAUCAAGCUUCUUCAAGGGAAAAGCCUGAUGUUCACACAAGGCUGAUGAGAAACUACAAAGACAUACCUUCGUGGUGGUUUUAUUUGCUUCUUGCCGUCUCAAUUCUUCUGGGCCUUGUACUCUGCAUCUUCUUUAAAAAGGAUGUUCAAAUGCCUUGGUGGGGACUCUUAUUUGCUGCUGCACUUGCCUUCUUUUUCACUUUGCCUAUCAGCAUUAUAACAGCUACGACUAAUCAAGUAAAUUAAGAUUGGAAUUUUGCUUAUCAACAAGGAUUAUAUUUUUUUUUCAAAAAGAAAAAAACUCACCUAAUUGAUGAAUGUUUAUGUUCUUUACCGGCAGACACCAGGGUUGAAUAUCAUUACAGAGUAUAUAAUGGGAGCAAUAUUGCCUGGACAACCAAUAACCAAUGUUUGUUUUAAGACCUAUGGGUACAUUAGCAUGGCUCAGGCUGUGGCUUUUCUUAGUGAUUUCAAGCUCGGUCAUUACAUGAAAAUUCCUCCAAGAUCAAUGUUUCUGGUUCAGGUAUUAUAGUUUAUCAUCUGUAUACUUAAAAAUUGUUUUUUCAACAGAAUUUUAUUUGGAUAAUUCUCUUACAUUGGUCGAUUGUUGGUUGCACUUGCUUCUCAGUUCAUCGGAACCAUGUUAGCCGGAACGAUAAACCUUGGAGUGGGCUGGUGGCUUCUAUCUUCCGUCGAGAACAUAUGCCAUAAAAAUCUUCUCCCAGCAAAUAGUCCUUGGACAUGCCCCGGCGAUAAAGUCUUCUUCGAUGCAUCGGUCAUCUGGGGUUUGGUUGGACCAAAACGAAUUUUCGGCUCACUGGGGGAGUACUCAACACUUAACUGGUUCUUCCUAGGAGGACUAUUAGGACCAGUUGUAGUAUGGCUGUUGCACAAGGCAUUCCCCAGUCAGGCUUGGAUUCCCCUUAUCAAUCUGCCAGUGCUUUUAGGCGCAACAGGCAACAUGCCGCCAGCAACCCCAUUGAACUAUACUUCCUGGAUUAUCGUUGGAACUAUCUUCAACUUCUUUGUCUUCAGGUAUCGAAAGCGAUGGUGGCAGAGGUAUAAUUACAUUCUAUCAGCUGCAUUGGAUGCAGGGACAGCAUUCAUGACAGUGCUGAUUUACGUUGCACUGGGUGUUGAGAGUAAGAGUUUGCACUGGUGGGGUGCUAGUCCUGAUGUUGUCCCGGAGCACUGUGAUCUAGCAACUUGCCCUACCGCUAAGGGUAUAUUGGUUGAAGGGUGCCCAAUAUUUUAAGCUUCGUGCUUUGUUAGUCUGCUACUUUUUUAAUUAAUUUUCUCAAGGUCUCAGCAUGGCAAAGAAAUGAAUAAAAAAAAAACUCAAGCAUAAUGAAAGAAUUUGGUUGCGGAAAAGAAGAUUCUAAUUAGUAUACAACAUUUUAAGAUUAUUGUAUGAAUCGAAAGGAAACCCAGUUCAGUUAUUUGGAUAAUUUAUGGACAAGUCUACUCAUAUAUAUAUUUAAAUAUUUUAUAAUAAAAAUUAUUUUUGAUGAAAGUAAAAUAUCUUUAUCUUUAAUAUCUAUUAUUAAAUAUUAAAUAUUUUAUUAUAUUUAAUAAAAAAUUAAAUAAUGAAAAUUAAAUAUUUUAAAUUUAAUUAUUAUUUGAUAAUCAUAUUUUAAUGUUAUUUUAAAUUUAAAUACUCUUUCAAGUAUUGUUCAAUAAUAAGUGGUGUUCUCGCAAUUAAAUUGUGUAUAUAUGUUUCAAUAAUUCGAUCUUUAUAUUGAUUAUAUAAAUAUAAAAAAUAAAAAAUAUAAUAGUAAUAUUUUCUUAUAAUUUGUAAUUGGUUGGAAAUGUGUUUGUGAUCCAAACGAAUAAAAAGCAUCGAAAUUUUUAAAAUCUAUGACAUUUAUCAAAUUAAAUAAGAUUAAUUAAUUUAGACAAUAAAAUAAACUAAAAAAUACAAUAUUAUUAAAUUAACAAUUUAUUUAAAAUAAAAAUAUCUUUAAAGCUUUUAAAAAAAUAAAAUACCUCAUUUUAUUUGAAAUCUUUGAGAUGAUGAAAAUCGAAUAAAAUUAAUAAAUUAGGAUAAAAAAAUGAGAGAAGAAGAAUUUGAGAAAAUUUUGAGAGAUUAGGAUAAAAAAUUAAGGGAGAAAGAGUUUCAAAAUGAAGAAAGAUGGAUGAAAUUGAAUAAAAAAAAAUGAUAAGCGGAGAGAUUUAUUUAGGGUUAGAGUUUGGGAGCCGCUAAGUGUUUUUAAUUUUUUUUUCAUUUUUCAAAUUUCUAAUUGUUGGAGAUUCAACUUUUAUAUUUAUUAUUAUUUUUUUAAAAAUUCUGUGUAGAGCAUCACUGCCAAAAUCAAUUUAUUUCCUUAAAUUUAGAAAAAAAAAAUCUAUUCACAUUUGAAAUCUGCAUAUUCCACUAAUUUAUCCUGUUGGAAUCUAUAGAAUUUUAGAAUCUUUAGCAGUUUGGUCCAGUAAUUGCACCCUGGCUUCUUGUAUUAACAACGAAAAACUACCACGUCUGUAAACUGAUAGCCUCCCAUAACUGAUGUUGAACCUUUACUUUGUAUUAACCCACUAGUUUGUAACUUUGCCAACCAAUCUCAUCGAUUUAAACAACCUCAACAACCUUUGUUACAUCUUAUAGAAAUUAUCGUACAAACAAAAGUAAGACUAAGCACUUGCCCGGCCAUUCAAUAUCGAAGAAGUCAACUUUAAACCUAUGUAAUUUUCUUCUUGUCUUAUAUAAAACUUCAUUUGAAAUUUUGUAAGAAUUUUGGUUUUUGAAAAAUGGGUAAUUAUAAUUAAGAUAAUAACAAUAAAAGGGACAUUGUUGUUUUAAACAAGAAGCAGGCAUUGCAGCUAGUUAAGACUUGUUCAUCAUUUUUUUUUUUUGGUUUCUCUUUCGUUUUGAUUAUUUAUCACUAUGGGAACUGUGAAAACUGAAGCAUCACCAAAACUAGCUGACAAAGUGGUGAAAGAGGAGGGUGAAAUCGACGAAAGCGAGCUGUCUCCGAUAGAGGAGGUUCGUCUGAUAGUGCCCAACACCGAUGACCCUUCACUCCCAGUAUGGACCUUCCGUAUGUGGUUCUUGGGUCUUUUCUCUUGCAUCCUCCUUUCAUUCCUGAACCAGUUUUUUGGUUACCGAACCGAGCCGCUAGUCAUCACCCAAAUCACCGUCCAGGUGGCGACUCUCCCCAUCGGACGGUUCAUGGCUUCGGCUCUUCCUACGGCUAAGUUCCGCAUAACUGGGUUUGGCUCGAGAAAAUUCUCGCUUAACCCCGGACCGUUCAACAUGAAGGAGCAUGUUUUGAUUACGAUAUUUGCUAAUGCUGGGAGUGCUUUUGGAAGUGGUACUGUUUAUGCUGUUUUAAUUGUUACCAUAAUCAAGGCUUUUUAUGGAAGGAGCAUCUCUUUCUUCGGUAGUUGGCUUCUCAUAAUUACAACACAGGUUGGUUUACUCGACGUUUUUUUGGCUUCAGGGUUCAACAGUAAGACGUAAAAGGAGAUAUAUAGUAUAAUCAUGUAUAUAUGAGAACAGUUUUCAAAGAAUGGUCUAUAGAAUGAGAAUUUAGAAUUUAGAAAAAAAAAAAAAACAAGAGAUAAGAUAAUAUUACCACUGUUAUUGAAGUGGUUCUUUGGCUAAUUUCGUGGUGCCUUAACUGCAGGUUAUGGGAUAUGGUUGGGCCGGGCUAGUGAGGAAGUAUGUGGUGGAGCCGGCGCACAUGUGGUGGCCCACUACCCUUGCUCAAAUUUCUCUCUUUAGGUAAUUAUUUUGGUCUUCCAAUGCACAUAUAUAUAUUAUUAAUUUUUUAUUGUUCAAAAAUGUAUCAACUAGCUUAUAGCUUAAUGAUGAAAAAACUUCUGUAUUUAUUAUCCCUUGGAAAUAUCUCACAUGAAAGUAGCAGAAAAUAUUUCUGUUUCAGUUUGCUUCAGCCUUCGAUCUUCUUUUUAUCUCUAAGGCAUUCAGUAUUCAACAUUAGAAAGGCGAUAACUGGCGUAUAUAUUGAACACUUUUGCAUUGUUUUAACGUUGUACUGCUGUUAUAUAUUCCAGGGCCUUGCAUGAAAAAGAAGAAAACAACGAUGGCAAGCGCCGCAUAUCACGACUGAAAUUCUUCGUGAUAGCAUUAGUGUGUAGCUUCUGCUGGUAUGUUUUCCCCGGUUACCUCUUCCAAACCUUGCAAAGCAUCUCUUUGGUGUGCCUGGCCUUCCCCCAUUCAGUAACCGCCCACCAAAUCGGUUCGGGCAUGAGCGGUCUCGGCAUAGGGUCCUUCACGCUUGACUGGACAACCGUUGCCUCUUUCCUGUUUAGCCCACUCGUUUCUCCCUUCUUCGCCAUUGUAAACGUCUUCAUAGGAUAUGCCUUGAUUAUAUACCUUGUGAUGCCAGUAUCUUACUGGGGGCUAAACCUAUUCAACGCGAAAACUUUUCCCAUAUUUUCAUCGGACUUGUUCACCGCACAAGGUCAGGAGUAUAACAUUACGUCGAUAGUUAACAGCAAGUUCGAGCUCAAUGAGGCGGAGUACGAGAAGUUAGGCAGGAUCCAUAUGAGCACUUUCUUCUCUGUCACCUAUGGAUUUGGGUUCGCCACAAUUGCUUCCACGGUAACACAUGUGGCCUUGUUCUAUGGAAGGUAAAAAUUCUUUGGUUAUUUCACAAGGUGAAACGUCAUUGUCCCAUUCGAUGUUCAUCUUAAGUGAUGAAAACCAUGUCGAUUGUAGGGAAAUUUAUAGUCGAUAUCAAGCUUCUUCGAAGGCAAAGGCCGAUGUUCACACUAGGUUGAUGAGAAAGUACCCGGAUAUACCUUCAUGGUGGUUUUAUUUGCUUCUUGCCGGCUCGAUUCUUGUCAGUCUUGCACUCUGCAUAUUCCUUAAAAAGGAUGUCCAAAUGCCUUGGUGGGGACUGUUAUUUGCUGCUGCACUUGCCUUCUUUUUCACUUUGCCUAUCAGCAUUAUAACAGCCACGACGAAUCAAGUAAUUUAAGAUUGCAAUUUUGCUUAUCAACAAUGAUAAUUUUAUUUUUCAAAAAUUUGACUUAAUUGAAUAUUUUUUAUGUUCUUUACCGGCAGACACCAGGGCUGAACAUCAUUACAGAGUACAUAAUGGGAGCAAUAUUGCCUGGACAACCAAUAACCAAUGUCUGUUUUAAGACCUAUGGAUACAUUAGCAUGUCUCAGGCAGUGGCUUUUCUUAGUGAUUUCAAGCUCGGUCAUUACAUGAAAAUCCCACCAAGAUCAAUGUUUCUGGUUCAGGUAUUAUAGAUUUAUAGUUUAUUAUAGAUCAAUUUCUCUGCAUUAACUUCCAUAAUUCUCUUACAUCGCUCCCUUGUUGGCCGAAUUUGCAUUUCAGUUCAUUGGAACCGUGUUAGCGGGCACGGUAAACCUUGGAGUGGCUUGGUGGCUUCUAACUACCGUCGAAAACAUAUGCCAUCGAGAUCUUCUCCCAGCAAAUAGUCCUUGGACAUGCCCCAGCGAUAGAGUCUUCUUCGAUGCAUCGGUCAUCUGGGGUUUGGUUGGACCGAAACGAAUUUUCGGUUCGCAAGGCCUGUACUCAUCACUUAACUGGUUCUUCCUAGGAGGGCUUUUAGGACCAGUUGUAGUAUGGCUGUUGCACAAGGCAUUCCCCAGUCAGGCUUGGAUUCCCCUUAUCAAUCUGCCGGUGCUUUUAGGCGCAACUGGGAGCAUGCCACCAGCAACCCCAUUGAACUACACUUCCUGGAUUCUUAUUGGAACUAUCUUCAACUUCUUCGUCUUCAGGUAUCGAAAGCAAUGGUGGCAGAGGUAUAACUACAUUCUAUCAGCAGCACUGGAUGCAGGGGUGGCAUUCAUGACGGUGCUGCUUUACUUUGCGUUGGGGAUUGAGAAUAAGAGUUUGAACUGGUGGGGUGCCAGUCCGGAUAUCUUUCCAGAGCACUGUGAUCUAGCAAGUUGCCCCACUGCAAAGGGGAUAUCGGUUGAAGGGUGCCCAAUAUUUUAAGAUUCAUGUUUUAACAUUUGUGCCCUGUUGGAAUCUGCUACCUUUUUUACUUAAUUUUCUGAAGGUCUCAACAAGUCAAAGAAUCAAAAAACCCCUCCAGUUUAAUGAAAUGAACAUGGUUGCAGAUCAGGAGAUUCUAAGUUUAAACUUUCUGAUACUACAUAAUUUUAAGAUGAUUGCAUUAAUCAAAAGAAAAUUGGAUUCAGUUAUUGCGUGAGUUGGUCACUGAUUAAGAAGGCUUUACAUUUUUUAUUCCUUAUACAUGCAAGUAAAACGUUAAACACUAUGUUGAGAUCUGGAAAAAAAAAAGACCUUUUUUCUCGAUAAUUUGCUUUUAAUUAAGAGAAAGAAUGAAAAAAAGAAAUUGAGAGUCUUCACUUUUCCUAACUUUUCUAUAUUUUUUAAUAUCUCAAAAUUUGAGGUAAAGUGAAAAGAAAGAAAUAUGGUAAUUUUUUAUAUUAUGUGAAAUUUUAUAUUUAACCUUUAUUUUAAUUUUUUUCAAAACUUUCAUUUUCUACCUACCGACCAUUUAACAUCAAACUUAUCCCUUUCCUAUUAACUUUAAUAGAGAUCCAAAACAUUUGACUAUUCAUUAUUAUUCUUGUAAAUUUGAAUAUUAGUUAACCAUGACAAAACAUUUGGGGCAAAAUAAUCAUUUUUUUAAUUUUAUGGUAGCUAAUAUUUUACAUUCUUUUUAGAUUAUUAACCUCUUUUAUUUGAAUUUGAAAUAAAUUUAUUUGUAAUUUAAUUUAAUUAUUGUUAUUGUUAUUUAUGCAAAGAAUAAAAUUAAAAAUUUCAUUCACAAUAAAUUAUUUCCAUUCUUUUCCAUAAUUUACCGAAAGAAAAUCUUAAAAUCACUUUCCUUUUAUUUCCUUUAUUAAUCUUAAUUAUUCAAACAAAAAAUAAAUUUAAUAUUUCCUUUUUUAACUCUCAAUAUUUAUACAUUGUGUCAAUUUAGUCAUGAUUCUAAAAAAAUUAACCUUUAACAUCUACACAUUGUGUAAUUUGUUUUUUUUUUCAAUUUUACUUCUAAUUGUGACUUUGAGGGUUAAUUUUAAAAGAAUAUGAAAAUUAUUAUCUUGGAUUUCGGAUGUUUCCAUUUUAUAUAUAUUUUCAAUAAAUUUAGUUAAUAAAUUUUUUUUUUAACUUUUUAGAUGAAAGGCAUACAAAGAAAAUCAAAAUUAAAAAAAAAAAACUAAAUUACUUAAUGUGUAUGCGUUGAUAGUUAAUUUUUUAAAUCAAGACUAAACUGAUACAAUGUAUAAAUGUUAAAAGUUAAAAUUACUAUUGUUAUAGGCCUGGCCAACAAGAAAUAAAAACCCAAAUUAAUUCCAAAAUAUAAAAGUCCCAAAACAAAGUCCAUUUUACAAAAAAAAAAGAAGAAAAGAAAAAACAGCAGGCCCAAUUUCCUUCAGCCACCAACCUUCUCACGCGCGCCACCACUGCUCGGGGCGCCAAUCACCGGCCUUCCACGCCUCUGACACUCCCAUGACCUGCAAACAUUUGGAAAAGAGGAAAAUGGCAGCAAGAAGCACAAGCAGUAGCAGAGAAUAAAAUAAUAAUAUGUUAAUAUGGGAAUCGGCUAUAAAGCCGAAAUGAAACUGAUUGUAACGGGGGGGAAGAAUCGAAUGUAAUGGGGGACUUUUGAAAGAGAGAAAAAUAAAAAAGAAAGGGUUAUAACACAGAGAUUAAUCAAAGAAACGUUUUCAAAAGGUUUCAUUUUUUUUCAUUUCCUAUCUUUAUCAUUUAUUUUAUGUAUUUAUUUCGAAUCUAUAUACAAAUAUAUAAAAAGGAAAGAUUUUUACCCGUAUUUGGCGUUGGUACCCUGGGCAUACGCUUCUCCAGUCCGAAAGCCGGCGGAUCUCUAGAGAUCCGGUUAAAACUUCGACGGAGGAAGCCAAAGGUUGAAGAAUCUUUGUGGUUUUAAGAAGUUUGGGGUUUAGUUUUUGGUUUUUCAAGUCCUAAAUCUUGUCUACGUGAAAAGGGGGUUCAACGGGGGAAGUUUUGAACUCUCCGACCACCGCGUACGGUGGCGACGUCGCCCGUGGUCGGCGGUCAGCAUGACGGCCGGUAACCGGAGCCCAUGGCCGAACAUGGGCUGAAAGAGAAGGGAAGGGUGAUUUUUGUUUUUUUUGGAAGAAGGAGUUUUGUAAACUAAAUGAUGAACCUACAGAUUGAAAAGGAAGGAAAUUUUUUUUGUUUUAAAUCAUUCCAAAUGACGUCGUUUGGGAGGGUGGGGUCUGUGCACUUUCCCUAAAAGGGAAAUUUAUGCGUUUAGUCCUCCUCUUUCGCAACCUCGUUCAAUUAACCCCCAUUUUCUAUCUUCUUUUGUUUUUUUUUAAAUUUGGCCCUCAGAUCUUGUUUGGUUUUUGUUUUGAUCCCUAAUUAACUAUCCAAUAUUUAUACUUUUAUACCCCGAAUUGUAAUUUGUUUUUGGAAAUAUCCUAAAUCUAUUUAAUUCAUUUAUUACCCUUUUUAAUGUUUCAUUUAUAUGUUAUGUCAAACAUUUUAUAUGUUGUUUAUUUACAUCUAUUCUAACUUAUUUUAAUGUACUAUUUAUUCAAAUUCUUAUUAUUUAUUUUAACUAACUUUAUGUAUAUAUGUCACUUUAAUCUAUUUUAUAUGUAUUAUUUAUUUCUUUAUUCCUUACCUAUUAUAUAUAUGUAUACAUAUAGUUUAUUUCAAGCUUUUUUAUAUAUUUAUAAUUCUUUAAAAAUUGUUAUAUAUUUAUUUCAAAUUAUUUUAUAUUUUAAGUUAUUGUAUAUUAUGUAUUUCGAAUAACUCUCUUUAUAUUACCUUUGAACUAUUAACAUUAUAAAAUAUAUUUAUAUGGUCUAUUUUUAAUUCUUUUACGUAUUAUAUAUUUUAAACUUCUUAUUUAUUACUUUUAAAUUAAAUUUAUAUUAUUUAUUUUAAAAUUAUUUUAUAUACCUUAUUUUAGACCCAUUCUACUUAUUCCAUAUUUUACACUUUUAUUUGUAUAUAUAUUAUCUAUUUUAAAAUUAUUCAUAUAAAUUUUUUUAUUUGCUUUGUAUAAUAUAGAUUUUAAAAUUCUUCUACAUUAUUUAAUUUAAACUCGCUUUAUGUAUUAUUCAUUUGAAAUUGUUUAUUUAUUUACUUUAAAAUUUAUAUAUAUAUAUAUAUAUAUUAUCAAAUUUUAAAUUAUUAUAUCCAUUUUUCAUAUAUAUAUACAUACUAGUUAUUUCUUUGAUGUCUCGUAUAUUAACUAUUUUAAAAAUCUCUUUUACACAUACUCUAUUUUUUUAAUUUAUUUUGUACAUUGUUUAUAGUAAAUUUCUUUUUCACGCUAUUCAUUUUAAAUUCGUUUGUUAUUAUUCGUAAAUUUGUUUACAUUUUAUGCAUUUAAGUUUGCCUUAUAUCUUUUUCCAUUUAACCCAUUGGCUUUUUAGUUAUCGACGCUAUUAUUUGAAUGUUGCAUGAUUAUUGCUAUUGCAUGUAUGUAAAUUUGCUUACUUACGUUCAUAUUAUUGCCAUGCGCUUGUGGAAUAUUUUGUGCGCGGAUCAUUGUUCUAUGUCGUACCAUAUUUUAUUUCAUAUCUUUGCCUCGCGAAAUAAACCUCAAUGUAUUUAUCCAAUAAAUCACCUUAUUUUAACCUAAAUAAAUAACACAUGUUGCUUGAAUAUUGCAUUCGCUACUGUUCAAAAGUAAAAUUUUCCAAUAAGGCAAUGUCAUGCAUUUUGAAAUAUGGAGGAAUUGUGCCCUAACUUACGGGGUUUCGAUUCUCUCAUUGUUUCUAAAUAGCAAAAUAUCCUUUUCAAGUUUUAAAACACAUGAAAUUCUCAUUCAAAUUAGGGGACAACUUUGUGCUCGGGAAUUCAUGGUAUUGUGUCCUAACUUACGGGAUGUGAUACUCUGAUAUCUCGAGAUAAGGAAAUCUCUAAAUAAUCGAUUCAAGCUAACUCAAGCAUUUUUAAAAUCGACGUCAAUAAAAAAGAUUGUAUUUUAAAAUCCAUUCCCGAUUUUCAACUUUCGACAUUAAGACAUUAACUAAUCAAUUCGGUACCAAUUUUUGGGCGUGUCGAGGGUGCUAAUCCUUCCUCGUACGUAACCGACUCCCGAACCCAUUCUCUCAAGUUUCGUAGACCAAAGGCACUGUUUUAGUAAACUAAAAUUGAUUUAUUAAAACAAAGGUGAUCCGAUCACACCUAAUAAAGAUCGGUGGCGACUCCCGUUUUAAUUUUCGCUUUCAAACCAAGUCGAUUCCCGUUUUCAAAAAAUGGUUUCGACAGCUUGGCGACUCCACUGGGGACUUCGAGAGUCAAGCCUUAAAUUGGUUAAUUUUUGUCUUUUUUCGAAAAUUGAAAAUUGGUUUUAAAUUAUCUGCAUUGCAUAUUGUUUAUUAUUUUCGUGGCCUUCUUCAUAAUAUGCUUGCUUUAAGUAGUUUAGUUCUAUGAUGUAUCUUUGCAUAUUGCAUCGCAUUAUUGGUCAAUUUCACCCUCUUAAGUGGAAGUGAGAAACUACUCCUUCGUGAGGUCUUCACCUCCGUAUAGGAUAGUGGAUCGCUUUCGGGAUACAUCCGUACCUGCGUCUUCGUGAGGUUUUCAUCUCCGUAUAGCCGUAGGGAAAUGUAUUCCCCUGAAUCGAACUCAGUCCGUAUGAGCCUAUAAUGGGCGAGGGUCGAGGAAUCUGCUGGUUCAGGUACCUUUACCUUAGAAUCGAACUACAUGUAAUGAAGCCUAGGAGCCUACCCUAGGUAGAACCACACCGAACCCUAGUGGUUACCCUAUUAGGCAUUUAUUUACUCCUUAUUUGUUUUGAAUUCUAUUCUUUGUAUAUAGUACUAACUUGUUGUGUUUUGAUUGUUUUCGCAUGGCAUCUCAUCAUAAAAGGGUGUUGAUUUACGUUCGGUUACUAAAUAGAAGAGUUUAGCAUGGAAAAAUGAUUUCUUGAUAGAGUGGAGGAUAAUGCGGCCGUCCGAGUGUGGUCUGAGAGAACGCAACAAGAGAAAGGAGAUAGUUUGACCGAGGGAUAUGAAUUGGAGUUGUGGGAUUUCACUCGCAUCAGUGUGACUCAAAAUGACCUGCAAGAGUUAAAGGAUAUAUGGAAUAGUUGGAAUGGCGAAUUCAAGCAACUCUUUUACUGUAACUACGGCGAUUUACCCUAUUUGCUCGAUGUAAAGGUGGACAAGUACUUAUUCCGGGCUCUCGCGUAGUUUUGGAACCCAGCUUACAGUUGCUUCACCUUCAGAGAAGUUGAUUUAGUACCUACUGUGGAGGAAUACAUUGCGCUACUUAAUUGCCCGAAGAUUCAGGCUGAUAGGGCCUAUUCAAGACCUGUCAACAUCCCUCCCUUUUUGAAGAAGUUGAUGAAUGUAACGGGGAUGAGCGAGCAAUGGGUUGUAGCCCGCAUCAAGCAAAAAUGGGAUAGUAAGUGUAUUCCUUGAAGGAAUUUGAGGGACUUGAUUCUUACGCACCCAGAUUCGAAGAAAAGGGUUGAUGUUUUUGCCUUAAGCAUCUACGGUUUGAUCAUCUUUCCCAAGGCGCUAGGACACAUAGAUGAAGCGGUCUAAGAUCUAUUCGAUCAGCUUGAUAAAUGUACUACACCUGUCCCAGCAAUACUAGCAGAAACUUUCAGAUCCUUGAAUGCAUGCUGGAGAGCGGGCGAGGGAAGAUUUAUUGGUUGUGCUCAGCUUAUUUUGGCUUGGUUCCAUAGCCAUUUCUGGAGGGUGGAGAAGGUCUCUUAUCGGGUUUUCUCUAAGGAUUAUUCCCCAUUAAGGAAAUUCGUGGCCAUACCGAGGUGGGACGACAUCUCAGAAGAGAAAUGGAUAACUAUUCUCCAGAAUUUACGGGCUGAAUACGUUGAAUGGAGAGCUCCGUGGUUGAUUCCUGACGAGAUCUUAUAUAGAUACGGUGAUUUUGACUGGGUCCCUCUGGCCGGGAUAUGGGGAGCCGUUGGAUACGCUCCACUGAUAGUGUUAAGGCAAUAUCGAUCAAGGCAAUUUAUACCAGUGACACAGGGUUUGGCACAAUGUGAGUUCUCCUAUAAAGACAAUAAUUAUAAGAAGAGGGUUCGCGAGGUGUUAGAUGCAUGGAACCAAGCUCGAAGAAUGAAAGGAUUUACCACAGGCCCGAUGACCACCUCCGGGUAUGAAUGGUGGUGAGGUAGGAGAGUCAACGACAACAUCCCUAGGCUGAAUCAAGGAAAUACUCAACCGAUAGAGGAGCAUUUACGAGUUAUCCCAUCCGAGUUAGAGAUCAUUAAACAAGACUUUGAGAAAAAGAACUCAGAGUUGGGGAAGAAGAUAGAGCAGCUAGAAGAAGAGAAAAUGAAAUUGGGAUUAGACGUCGAUGUCCACAAGCUAGAGGCUGAGAAGUUAAGGAAAGGAAAGAACAAGGCCGAGGAAGGUUUGGAUAGUUUGAAAACCGAUUACAAGAAGCUGCGUAUGUCAAUAAGAACUGCCGGUUUAGGUAAAACGUCAGAGCAAUGGCGUCAAGAGAUCAAAGUGGAAAAGACUAGAGCCGACCAUUGGGAGAAAAGGUUUCAAGAUGCCCGAAUACGAGAGGACACUCUGAAAAAGAGUUUGUUAGAAACCCAAAACGAAAAGGAGAAGUUACGUGCUCGGGUGGUUGAAUUGGAAAAAUCACUUCAUCAACAUCGUAACUGUAAUUCAGUAAUUGAGCUGAAAGCUAGUCUGAGCAGGAUCGAAAAGUUGAAAGGGAAAGUAGAAGAACUCGAGACUGCACUACGAGAUAGUAAAAUUCGAGUGGAACUGCUUGAGGCAAACAACGACCAUUGCAGGGAACAGCUUCACCACUCUCAGAACCAGAUUAGAGAUAAAGAUUAUGUCAUGGGCGAAGCUGUGGCUCAGGUUCGAGAGGUAGCCGAUCACUUGCAAACCUUGGCAGUCCAAGCUGAUGUAUUAAGCUUAAAGUACGAGUCAGAAUCAGAUCGAGGCCGAAAACUAGCUUGGCUCCUUAGAAAAAUUAAGGCUUUGGGCAUUAGGGCAAAGUCGUAUAUGUAAUCAUCCGUUCUAUGUAAAGAAAUUUUUCUUCUAAUGAAAUUGAAUUGGAAUCAACGCCUCUUUUUUUUUGCAUUCAUUCAUUUGUAUUACAUUUCAUCAUGUGUAUUAAAUUUCGCGAAAAGACCCUGAUUAAACAAAAUUAUUUCAAUUAAUCUGGAAACCAACGAGAAUCAACCAACCGAACACAGCUACUAUACCGCCGUAAAACCAAAGUAAUGAAUCAUAGAUUAGAGAGAAUAGAACAAAUGCAAAGGGAAAUGCAAGAGCAAUUACAAGCACAAGUGCAAGAGCAACUGGCUAAGAUACAACAAGAUAUGAAGGAAACAAUGGAAGAAUCCCAAAAUAAUCUGAUAGGCCAGUUGGCGCAGUUGCUGGCUAGAGAACGCGAGAAAGGGAAGAGCACCAUGGGGAACAAUAAUGAAGACCCUAUCUAUCCUCCAGGCUUUGCUCCGAUAAACACCCAACCACAAUCAGAGGUGCAUCCACGAACGGUAUCCGUCACUAUUAAGCCCCAGCAAUACCAGGCCAAUACCUCGACACCAAUAAACAUUCCUAUAGGAUCAGGCUCUAAUCCUGGGAUAAUCCAGCUAAUCCAUUUGUCCCGAACCUUGAUGACAUGGCAGAAAUAGAGAAAGGAAAAGUAGAUGUGGCAAAACAACUCGAUAAUCGGUGCAAAUGGCUUGAGGAAAAAUUCAAAGCAAUGGAAGCUGUUGAUUACUGUGGCGGGAUCGAUGCUAAGGACUUAAGCUUGGUCUCAGAUCUGGUGCUCCCACCAAAAUUUAAAACCCCGGAGUUCGAAAAGUAUAACGAGACGAGCUGCCCUGAAACUCAUAUUACAAUGUUCUGUCGAAGGAUGACAGGGUAUGUUAACAAUGAUCAGUUGUUGAUCCACUGUUUCCAGGACAGUCUGAUCGGAUCUGCGGCCAAGUGGUAUAACCAGCUCAGCCGUACCCAAAUUGGUUCGUGGAAGGACUUGGCUCAAGCUUUCAUGAAACAAUACGGUCACGUGACGGAUAUAGCACCUGACAGAAUUACCUUACAAAACAUAGAAAAGAAGCCGAGUGAAACCUUCAAACAGUAUGCACAACGGUGGAGGGAAAUAGUGAUGCAAGUCCAGCCACCCCUCUUGGAGAAGGAAACGACCAUGCUAUUUAUCAACACUCUAAAGGCCCCAUUCAUUAACCACAUGUUAGGAAGUACUACUAAAAGCUUCUCGGAUAUAGUAGUGUCCGGGGAGAUGAUAGAAAACGCAGUAAGAUGUGGGAAGAUUGAAGCAGGGGAAAAUGCCAAGAGAACGGCUCUAAGAAGGAAAGAAAACGAGGUGAACAAUGUGAGUGCAUAUCAUAAGGGUUAUUCCAAGCCGAUCACAGUAAACCAGCUGAGGGCAGUGACUACUAGCCAUCAGGGCGCCGCGAGUCAAGAUUCCAACCCAAGGCCUAACACGGAAAGAGUCCAGUUCACGCCAAUCCCAAUGACGUAUAGGGAGCUUUACCAGAACCUGUUCGAUGCGCAUGUAGUGUCUCCCUUUUACUUAAAACCCAUGCAACCUCCAUUCCCAAAGUGGUAUGAUGCAAACGCGCCAUGAGAAUACCAUGCAGGAAUUACAGAGCACACAAUUGAGAACUGCGUGGCCUUCAAAAAAUUAGUCGAAAGGUUCAUAAAUAUGGGCAUUGUGAAGUUCGAUGAUCCCACAAAACCUAAUGUGGCGGGAAACCCGUUACCCAGUCAUUCAGACAAUGGGGUAAACGCGAUAAGCGAAAGUAGAGGAAUGAGAACUAAGAUGGACGUAUCGGAGGUAAAUACCCCAUUGAGAUGGGUUUGGAAGAAAAUGGUGGAAGAAGGUUUACUUAUACAAGGUUUAGAGGAGAAGCUUGAAGGAGGGAAGUACUAUUGUGAAUUCCACGACGAGGAAGGGCAUAAAAUCCAAAAGUGCAAUGAAUUCAGGGCUCUAGUACAGAGAUUGAUAGAAAAUAAAGAGAUCGAAUUCUUUGAGUACACCGAGGGCCCGAAGGGAGAAGAUGUGUGCACGUCAGAGCAAGGGCCGACCAACAAUGUCCGAGGGGUCAACCAUCCGGUCGUAAUUAUAUCCCGACCAAGAGUCAAUGAAGUCGGAGUACCAAUUGCGUCAAAGGUCAUAAUUCAAAAGCCCGUUACUUUCCCUUAUAAGGAUAGCAAAAGGGUUCUUUGGAAUUACGACUGCAACGUAACGAUCCCGGGAGGAGAGAAUCCAGUUGGCACUUCGGAUAAAGGUCAAGACGAGGGUUUCUAUACACGCAGCGGAAGGCGUUAUACUCCGAACACAAAGGCAGAAUCAGCUAAAGGAAAAUCUGUGGUCAUUGAACAAGAAAAGGAAAAGACGACCAGACCUGAAUCACCCGUCAAUGAGCCUGUAACUGAAAAAGAGGCUAAAGAAUUCUUAAAAUUCUUAAAAUUCUUAAAACACAGCGAGUACAGUGUUGUGGAGCAAUUGCACAAACAACCAGCUCACAUAUCCAUACUAGCCUUGCUCUUGAGUUCAGAAACUCACCGAAGUGCAUUGAUGAAGGUUUUAAAUGAAACAUAUGUUGCGGAUGACAUCUCUGUCAACAAACUCGAUCGUCUGGUCAAUAACAUCAGCACGGAUAAUUUUAUUUUCUUUAAUGAUGAUGAAAUACCACCGGGAGGCAUGGGAUCUACAAAGGCGCUACACAUUACCACUCACUGCAAAAGAUACACAUUGCCGGGGGUAUUGAUUGAUAAUGGAUCGGCAUUGAAUGUCAUGCCCUUGUCCACGUUAAAUAAGUUGCCAGUGGAUAACUCUCACAUGAAGACAUGUCAAAACGUCGUGAAAGCAUUCAACGGUACGGAAAGAAAAGUGAUGGGAAGGAUCGAGAUACCUCUCUUGAUUGGCCCAAAUACAUACGAUGUGGACUUCUUGGUAAUGGACAUCAAGCCAUCGUACAAUUGCCUGUUGGGGAGACCGUGGAUUCACUCGGCGGGGGCAGUGUCGUCAUCCCUACACCAAAAGUUAAAGUUCGUAACUGAGGGCAGGUUGGUAACGAUAAACGCGGAGGAAGAUAUUAUUGCAUCCGUCACCAAUGACGUACCGUACGUAGGUGCGGACGAUGGGGCGAUAGAAUGUUCCUUUCGGUCGCUAGAAUUCGUCAAUGCUACAUUCAUUGUCGAAGGAAACAAGAUCACAAUGCCCAAAAUAUCCAAAGCUACGAGGAUGGGCCUGCGAUUGACGGUCGGUAAAGGAGCCCUACCGGGAAAAUGACUUGGAAGGUGCCUCCAAGAAAGGAGCAAGAUACCAAUGCUAAAAGAAAAACGAGAUCGUUUUGGCUUAGAAUUCAAGCCAGACCCGAAGCAAAAGAAGAAGGAGCUGAAAAAAAGGCAAGAGAUGAGAAGAGCACGUCUGUGCGCUGAGGAGGUCAAAUGGGAACCAAUGACCUUCCCUCAUUUAUCCCGAACGUUCGUGUCCGGAGGAACUAUCCAUCCAAAACAAGAGAUGACAAUGCCGAAAGUGGCAGAAGAGAUGUUGGGAAGUUGGAGCAUUAACGCCAUAUCUGAAGAAAAAGCUGAAGAAUGAGAUUUAUCUGGAAUUUGCCCUUACAUUCCUAGAAGUGUUUUGAACAAUUGGACCGUGGAGGAGAUCCCUGUAACUUUUAGAAUUAAUUCAGAGUAAUGUUCAAAACAAACUUAUUGCUCUAUGCCUAGGGGCAAUAAGAACCCUUUUAUGAAAUAGGCAUAUGUCCAAAUAUCGUCAUUUCAAUAAAAAUGCAUUCUUGCGUAUCAUAUUGAGCAAAUAUUCUUUUAUUUUUCUACUUCAUUCAUAAUCAUACUACAAAUCAAAUAUUCUUAGUUUCUUUUGUUCUUUGGAUUUCUUUCUUCAUCCAUAACAAGUCUCUAGAUAUCAAUGAUGUGAGCAACGUUGCCAAUGACCCAGAGAUUCCUUUCGAGCAAGAUUUGUGUAUGGAGGACACUGAGAAUUUUGAGGAUGACCGAAAUUGCAGCCUUUCUCCUGAUUUGUUAAUGAUGGUAGAUCAAGAGGAGAAACAAAUCCUACCUCAUAAGGAGUCAGUGGAAAUUGUUAGCUUAGGAGAAGGAAAAGAGGUGAAAAUUAGAGCUAGUAUCGCUGCAGAAACAAAGCAAAACCUCAUCGAGUUACUCCGAAAAUUCAAGGAUGUCUUCGCAUGGUCAUAUCAAGACAUGCCCGGAUUGAAUACUGAUAUCGUGGUACAUCGACUCCCCAUAAAGGAAGAAUGCAGGCCAGUACAACAGAAACUCCGAAGGAUGAGACCUGAUGUUUUGUUAAAGAUAAAGGAAGAGGUCAAAAAGCAAUUCGACGCCAGUUUCUUACAAGUGGUCAAGUACUCAUAAUGAGUAGCCAACAUAGUCCUAGUUUCUAAGAAAUAUGGGAAGGUACGGAUGUGCGUGGACUAUAGGGACCUGAAUAAAGCCAGCCCCAAAGAUAAUUUUCCAUUGCCUCACAUUGAUACACUAGUGGACAACACGGCAGGUUACUCACUUUUCUCCUUCAUGGACGGCUUCUCAGGAUAUAACCAGAUAAAAAUGCAUCUUGAAGACAUGGAAAAGACAACAUCUGUAACCAUGUGGGGAACGUUUUGUUAUAUAGUGAAAGAACGCAGGAGCAACAUAUCAGAGAGCCAUGGUAACUUUGUUCCAUGACAUGAUGCACAAGGAGAUCGAAGUUUACGUUGACGACAUGAUUGCAAAAUCCAAAACCGAAAAGGAGCAUGUGCAAGUCCUGAGGAAACUAUUCUUGAGAUUAAGAAAGUUCCAACUAAAGCUCAAUCCCGCAAAGUGCACCUUCGGGGCUAGGUCAGGAAAAUUGUUGAGGUUUGUAGUCAGUGAAAGGGGAAUCGAGAUUGACCCAGAUAAAGUUAAGGCUAUACAAGAAUUACCCCCGCCACGCACUCAAAAAGAAGUUCGAGGUUUCCUAGAAAGAUAAUCCAGGUGUUUAGGAUGAGGAGUGCGAGAAAACUUUCGAUAAAAUCAAACAUUAUUUGUCCAGUGCCCCAGUACUGAUGCCACUUUGCCCGGAUAAACCACUGAUACUGUACUUGACAGUGUUUGAAAACUCCAUGGGAUACGUGUUGGGCCAACAUGAUGAGUCAGGAAGAAAAGAGAAAGCGAUAUACUAUCUCAGCAAGAAAUUCACCGAAUGUGAGACAAGAUAUUCGUCGAUCGAGAAGUUGUGUUGUGCUUUAAUUUGGACAACCCGAAGACUGAGACAAUACAUGUUGUACUACACAACUUGGCUUAUCUCGAAACUAGAUCCUUUGAAGUAUGUGAUGGAGUCAAAUGCUUUGAACGGAAGAAUGGCUCAUUGGAAAAUUCUGCUUUCUGAGUUUGACAUAGUCUACGUGAACCAAAAGGCUGUAAAGGAGAGUGCAAUAGCUGAUUUUUUGGCCAGUAGAGCUUUAGAAGAUUAUGAACCAUUGAGCUUUGACUUCCCGAAUGAAGACCUAAUGUACGUUGUGACCACGGAAGAAGACUCUCAAGAAGGUCACCUAUGGAAAUUGAAUUUUGACGGAGCUUCAAAUGCUGUGGGUAACGGAAUCGGGGCAGUCUUGGUAUCCCCAAACGGAGAUCAUUAUCCUUUCACCAGCAAACUGGAUUUUGAUUGCACAAACAAUAUAGCCGAAUACGAAGCAUGUAUCAUGGGAAUUCGUGCAGUAAUAGAACGUAAGAUUAAAGUGCUAGAGGUAUAUGGGGAUUCUGCAUUAGUGAUCUAUCAGCUUAAAGGGGAAUGGGAGACAAGAGACCCUAAGCUGAUCAAUUAUCGAAGGCUGGUUCUUGAGUUAAUCGAGGAGUUUGACAAUAUCACUUUCUGCUACCUUCCACGAGAUGAAAACCAGAUGGCUGAUGUUUUGGCAACCUUAGCUUCUAUGAUCAAAGUGAAUAAACAAGAGGAUAUGAAGCCUAUCCAAAUGAGUAUUUAUAAGGCUCCGGCUCAUUGCUGCAAUAUUGAAGAGGAAGAAGAGAAAGAUGAUCAUCCUUGGUACCAGGGUAUUUUACGAUAUAUGAAGAGUCGUGAAUACCCAAACCAAGCGACUGAGAAUGAUAAAAGGACACUAAGAAGGCUGCUAGUGACUAUGUCUUGGAUGGAGAGAUCCUAUACAAGAGAAUGAAGGAUCAGGUACUUUUAAGAUGUGUAGACGCUGUCGAGGCUAAGCAAAUCCUGGAAGAGGUUCAUGAGGGUGUCUGCGGAACACACGCUAAUGGUUUCACCAUGGCCAGACAGAUUAUAAGAUUCGGAUAUUAUUGGUCCACCAUGGAAGGAGAUUGCAUCAACUAUGCCAAGAAAUGCCAUAAAUGUCAAAUUUAUGGAGAUAAAAUGCAUGUACCUCCUUCACCCCUUCAUGUCAUGACUUCUCCAUGGCCUUUCUCCAUGUGGGGCAUGGAUGUCAUUGGGCCGAUCUCACCAAAGGCAUCUAAUGGACACCGAUUCAUCUUUGUGGUCAUAGAUUACUUCACCAAGUGGGUAGAGGCUACUUCUUACGCCAACGUCACAAAGUCGGCAAUUAGUAAGUUCUUAAAGAAAGAGAUUAUAUGUCGAUAUGGGAUGCCUGAAAGAAUCAUAUCCGAUAAUGCAUUAAACUUGAACAACAGCACGAUAGCGGAAGUCUGUAGCUAUUUCAAGAUCAAACAUCAUAACUCGUCACCGUAACGCCCAAAGAUGAAUGGUGCAGUCGAAGCAGCCAAUAAGAACAUCAAGAAGAUCAUAGGAAAAAUGACUGAGACCUAUAAAGAUUGGCACGAGAAAUUACCAUUUGCCCUAUACACCUACCAAACGUCAGUCAGAACCUCUACCGGGGCGACAUCUUUUUCUUUAGUUUAUGGAAUGGAAGCGGUUCUGCCUAUUGAGAUCGAGAUUCCCUCUCUACGCGUACUUUCAGAACUAAAAUUAGAUGAAGCAGAAUGGAUCCAGUCUCGAUACGACCAGUUGAACUUGAUUGAAGAAAAGAGGCUAAAGGCUAUCCGUCAUGGUCAAAUGUAUCAAAAGAGAAUGAUGCGGGCUUAUAAUAAGAAGGUUCGCCCUAGAGAAUUCCAUGAAGGAGACCUUGUAUUGAAAAAGAUCCUCCCCAUACAAAAGGACUUCAGAGGGAAAUGGAUGCCGAAUUGGGAAUGACCUUAUAUGGUAAAGAAGGCUUUCUCUGGAGGGGCUCUGAUUUUGACCGAGAUGGAUGGUAAGAGCCUGCCUAAUCCUAUUAAUUCGAAUUCAGUCAAGAGGUAUUUUACCUAAAAAAAAAAAGGGGAGAGGCCAAGGUGAAAACCUGUGAAAGGGCGCUUUGAGACCAAAGGGGUUUGAAUUGAAAACCCAGGAAUGGUCAAUUCAAAUUUUGAUCGAACAUGGGCAUGCGGCAAUUUUGCCUUCUCUGAAUUAACAGGAGGGAGGGAUGCUACAUAUUGGGGCAUCAACAAAGCACUCUUGGUCCUCCAAACACAUACCGACUUCAAAAGCCCUCGAGAAGUUUGUGCAACGAAGCUCAUACUGCGAUAUCUGGGGCACCUAUUCUUAUCUUAUUCAUUCUGUUUAGCAGAAUGCGCCACCGUAAUUAAUUCGUAGGUUCACAUUUUGUACUUUAGCAAAUGUGCUAUCUUAAUUACCUUGCUCAUCUUGAGCUUCGCUCACAAUAAAAUUCCAUCUUGCCUAUUGCGAUAAUCUUUUUCAAGCGUCUUUCAUUAAGUUGAUGAUUAAUGGACUAAUAAUAUUCAAAAAGAGUUCUGCAUAUUACUCUAAAAUACUUCUAAAUGAUACGAGGAUCCGAAACGGGGCUAAUUAGUUUGAAUCACCCUACGUUCAAAGGUUGGAAAUAUUGGGGAAAGAAUGGCCCAAAUUUUGAUUAUUUCUUCAAAUUUUCUGCCGAAGAUAUCAGUUGAAGAAAACAUAGAGUAGUACAUUUACGAUAAAACCUCGAUGAACAACGAGUAAUAUCAAAAUAAGCAUUAAAAAAUGACAUUUUUGCAUUCAUACAAGUAUCAUUCAUACACAUUUAGUUAGGAGCACUUGAUUCAUUUUGAUCAUAGCAUCCUAAUUAUUUGACGUAAGCAUAGAUACAUAAAACUGAUUCUACAGAUCAUGUCCCUGGAGGAUGGUGUAGCAACAUCGGUAAUUUUACAGAUCAUGUCUCCCUGAAGUUACAGUGGAAUAGAUUGAAAAUGGUAAAUUUUGUCUCUCUGAAGUUGCUGUAGAGCAGAUUUAAGCCACCAUCCUGUCCCCCUAAGCAGUAGGGUAAUAGGUUAAAUUUCCAGAUCUUAACCCCCUAAGCAGUAGGGAAACAGAUCGAAGACGAAGGGUCUUAAACCCUAAGAGGUAGGGUAACAGACCAAAUUGCAAAUUUUGCCUCCCUGAAGUUGUAGUGGAGCAGAUCAAAGAAGAAGGGCCUUAAACCCCUAAACAGUAGGGUAACAGGCUGAAAAUUUAUAGAUCUUAUCACCCUAAGCAGUAGGGAAAUAGAUCGAAGACGACGAGCCUUAACCCCUUAAGCAAUAAGGUAACAGGCUAGAAAUUGUAGACCCUAUCUCCCUAAGCAGUAGUGGAGUAGGCUGAAGAGUGUACAUCUUGUUUCCCUGAAGUUGCAGCAGAACAGUUGGAAGUCACAAACCUCAUCUCCCUGAAGAUGUAGUGGAGCAGGUUAAAAUUACCAAAUUUUAUCCCUUUGAAGUACCAGCAAAGUAGAUUGAAGCUACAAAUCUCUUCUCUCUGAAAUUGCAUUUGAGCAAAUCGUAGCACUGGUUCCUAUAUCCCUGAGGAUGCAGUGGGAUGAAAUGAGGCUACUCGAAGAAAAGAAGCUCCAAAGAAGUUAAGAUUCAGUAAGACUAAGCAAAAUUGGCUCUUCUAAGAUCUUUGCUCUAUUCUCGUUACACGACAAUGAGCAAAGAGGGGCAGCUGUUAUAGCCAAUUUUAGCCUGGCCAACAAGAAAUAAAAACCCAAAUUAAUUCCAAAAUAUAAAAGUCCCAAAACAAAGUCCAUUUUACAAAAAAAGAAAAGAAAAGAAAAACAGCAGGCCCAAUUUCCUUCAGCCACCAACCUUCUCACGCGCGCCACCACUGCUCGGGGCGCCAAUCACCGGCCUUCCACGCCUCUGACACUCCCAUGACCUACAAACAUUUGGAAAAGAGGAAAAUGGCAGCAAGAAGCACAAGCAGUAGCAGAGAAUAAAAUAAUAAUAUGUUAAUAUGGGAAUCGGCUAUAAAGCCGAAAUGAAACUGAUUGUAACGGGGAGGGGGAAGAAUCGAAUGUAAAGGAGGACUUUUGAAAGAGAGAAAAAUCAAAAAGAAAUGGUUAUGAACACAGAGAUUAAUCAAAAAAACGUUUUCAAAAGGUUUCAUUUUUUUUCAUUCCUAUCUUUAUCAUUUAUUUUAUGUAUUUAUUUCGAAUCUAUAUACAAAUAUAUAAAAAGGAAAGAUUUUUACCCGUAUUUGGCGUUGGUACCCUGGGCAUACGCUUCUCUAGUCCGAAAGCCGGCGGAUCUCUAGAGAUCCGGUUAAAACUUCGACGGAGGAAGCCAAAGGUUGAAGAAUCUUUGUGGUUUUAAGAAGUUCGGGGUUUAGUUUUUGGUUUUUCAAGUCCUAAAUCUUGUCUACGUGAAAAGGGGGUUCAACGGGGGAAGUUUUGAACUAUCCGACCACCGCGUACGGUGGCUCCAUCGCCGGUGGUCGACGGUCAGCAUGAUGGCCGGUAACCCGAGCCCAUGGCCGGACAUGGGGCUGAAAGAGAAGGGAAGGGUGAUUUUUGUUUUUUUUGGAAGAAGGAGUUUUGUAAACUAAAUGAUGAACCUACAGAUUGAAAAGGAAGGAAAUUUUUUUGUUUU
rnacentral:lncRNA from 1 species